AAAGGAAUACAUUAGAUAAGCUAAAGGAGGAAAUAAUUCAUUGAAAUAAAUAAGUUAAAAAAAGUGUUCAUAGACAUUUAUGAACAUCUCCAACUAAAGCUUAAACUGUUAGAUUUUUUUCCCCAAAGAAGAAGAUGAACCAAAAAAAAAAAAGGAGCAAAAAGGGAGGGGAUACAGUGAGAUUAAGGGACUUAUAUGAAAUUAACGAUAAGAUCGAAGGAGCGCUCCACAAAAUGUACAAAUAAUGGCUCUCCAAGAUUUCUUGUAAAACGGGACGUAACAAAAUCUGGUGGAGGUUUUCAUAUCGGCGACACGUGCUCCUCCGCCACACCGUGAACAAAUCCCCGCCGCCGGCUUAGUAGUGCUCACUUUCUUUGUCUGAUCAACGAGGAAACAAAAGAACACCAUGGCUUUUUUUUUUGCACUGAAUGAAAAACUCCGUGUGCUUUGAAUAACAGUUGGAACUUAGAAAAAGAAAAAAAAAAAAAACAACACUCUUCAGGACUUCUUGGAGUUUGGGUUUUUAAAGAUAAAGAUUGAAAGAAAGGGCUCAGUUGUAUAUAUAUUUAUGUUUGAGGGUUAAAAGUCGAGCAACUUUGGUAUAUGGGUGAAAAAAAUUUUUUAGAUACUUUUCUAUAUCUAAUAAUUAUAUUGGAUUCAACCAUGGUUGCUCCUCUGGUAUCUUUGGAAAGCAUUAGUAGCGAGAAAAUUGAUGAUUAAUUGUUUAUCUCUUUAAAAAAUAUCAGUAACGAGAGAAUUAAUCAUUGUUGUAUACGGUGAAUACUUUGAUUUCAACCUAAAAAAGUCAUUUUGAGUUGGAAAAACUCAAGCUGAAAGUAUGUGAAUAAUAAAUAACAUUGUUUAAUCACUAUGUUUUAAGGUUAAUUGAUUAAAUAAGGAAAGAGAUUAGUUAAAAAAGUUUUACCAAGCCGACUGAAUAUUAGCUCGAUUGAUAUUGGUAUUUUUACUAAUGUAGGAGGACGUGGCUUUAAAUGUGCUGAAGUAUAUUAUUCUCCUUAAAAUUUUAGACAUUAUAUCAAAAAGGUAAUUAUGAUAAGAACUUUUAAUGAGAUUAGUGUUCAAAAAGAAGUUUUAUCAAUGUUUUAAUGUUUAUUCCCGAUUCAAUUGAUUUGAAUAGUUAAACUAUCGAUCAAUCAACAAAUAAAUAAAAUUAAUAAAAAUAAAAAUUAUAUAUUAAAAAUAUAAUCUAAAAAUAUAAAUACAUAUUUGAGCUAACUAUAAAAAAAACUCAGAUCAAUACAAAGCAUAAACAAUCAAAAACCUGUAUAAUAGAAUAAAACUCAGUACCUCAAUAUUAAGAAUGAGUUUUUAAAUUAAAAAAAUAUGUUGAGUAAAUUAUAUUUAUAAUUUCAUUAUUAAUUUACGGAUCAUAAAGGAAAUUCAAAAUUUAAUGAAUUGUGAUUAAAUCCGAAUUUGAAUUAAGUUGUAGAGAGAAAUAAUUUUAAAUUGCAGAGAAAUCCAAACUUUGAUUAGUUAUGAUUGAAUCCAAAUUCGAAUAAAAUUGAAUCUUUAAAUAAAGUAAAGCUUUUAUAACACUAUUUUUUCGUCAUUAACUAUUGAAUAAUUCAUCUAGCUUUUUAUUACAUUAACACAAGUUCAAAGAGUUGUUCGAAGUUUAAGUGAGAAAAAUAGGCCAUGUGGGUUUCUGACACGUGUAAAGCAGUAGCUGGAUAUGGUCCCUAUAUGUUGACAGAAUAGGAAAAGACAGGAUAUCUAUAUAACUAAUAAGUAGUUGAUUCCACCGUUUCACUUUUUAGAGAAGGUUUAAUUACGCCGCGGAUGUUGUAAUUUUUUUAUUUUUUCAAUUUAGUCCUAUAAUUUUUUUUUCUAAGAAUAGGAUAAGCAAAAGUCGACAGACAAAAGGAAAAUCGCCAGCCAAAUUGUAAAACUUGUCUAAAGUUUUCUAUUCGAAAUUAAUUAGGCUUAUGUAACCAGACAAAUACAAGUUUGAUUUCUUGACAUUGACAAAUUUAAUUGAGGCCACGUUAAGUUGAAUAUGUCUACAUGCAAACAUAAUAGGUCAAGUUGGAUAAUAUAUGCAUUCAACUAUACUUUUUGGAAUUUUUUAUAAGUUCGGUUCAUGUAGGACAAAAUCAAGAUAUUUUAUUUUAUUUUAUUUUAAAAAGCUGAAAAUUAAAAUUGGGUAAACUACACUUAAGCUUAUUAAACUAUCAGUAUUUUUACAUUUUGGUCACUGAAUUGUUCAGAAGUUUUUAUUUAAGUCAUUGUACUAUUAGAGUUGUUGUUGUAUGGGACAUUGACCAUCAGAUCGACUUAGAUUUAAAAUAUGUUCUUCUACUAGUCAAUGGGUAUUGAUCCACCAUACCAAUCGUUAAAUUAUCGCUUGAAACUCGCUAGCCAAAUUAAAAAAAAACCCUUAAUAGCUCAACGAAUUAACUAAAAACUUUCAAAUAGUUAGGAAAAUUAAACGAAAAUUUCAAAUAGUUUAGUGACCAUUUUGCAACCUUUUGAAGUUGAGUGAUCAAAACGUAAAUUUACUAAUAGUUUAGUGACCUUGAGUAUAAUUUAUCCAUUGAAAAUUUGAUUUAUAAGCAAAUAUUUAACUUUGUAAUAGUAAUAUAUUUUUUAAAAAAAAUUAUAUGAAAUAGUUGCGUCAAAUCAAUAUAUAUCAUCAUUUUGGAUCUAGAUUUUUUUGGCACUAGAUAGUCACAUUGGAUCUUAAUUAAAUCUAAGGUGGAGUUGAAUCAAAUCACUAAAUAAGAGUAAAGCUCUCUCAAUGCUAGUUUUUUCAUUCACAAGAUUCAAAUUUAAAACCUGACUUUAAUUAUCACUUGUUGAUGUAUAUAAAUUCUAUUCAAAUUAUACAAUAUAAUCAUAUUUAUUAAAAAAAAACUCAAAUAUUUUUCUAGAAUAUCCUUUAAAUAAAUCUGAAAAUAGAUGAAUUUUCCAUAACCAUGACAUCAACAUUGUGUAAUGUAAAAACACAAUAGGAAACAAUUGUUGACUAUAAUUUUGUAAUGGUUAUUGGAUAAUUGAUAAUACAUGCAUAUAUAGAGAGAAUUAAUGUCUUAUACUUAGAUCAUUGAAAUUAAAAAAAAUUGACAAAUUGAUAAGUAUUUACAAAUCUUGGACCAAGAAAAAUAAAUGAAGAGGUAAAGCUAAAUGCCAAAUGCCCAUAAUUUAAAAUGUGAAUCUCACAUAUCUCAACUAUCAACAUUCAACCACCCUGAUAGCUCUAUUUGUGUUAGAUUAUUCAAGGGAUGUUAUUAAUUUAUUAAUUUAGUGAUGUAAUGCAAGGGUGUUGAAUUAAUAAUGUAUUAAUGCAUAAUGGAUAUUUCUAGAAUAUAUGUAUAUAUUUUUAAUGGUAGCACAAAUUUUUAUUCACAUGUUCACACAUUUUUGGAAGAGUACUUGAGAAAAGAAAGAAGAAGAAGAAGAAAAAAGGAACGCUCCCACAUGUUUCAUUAGCUAUUUAUUGUUUAUCAUAAUUAUAGAAAGUUUGAUGUAAUUAUAAACACAAAAAUAAUUAAGAUAAAAAAAUUAAAAAAUAUUUUAAAAUAUUAAAUAUUAGAUGAGUCUAUAUGAGCUAAUAUACAUAUUAUAAGUUAACUUUAGCUGAAAUGAAACGAUACACCUCAAAGUGAUCAAAACAAAAUAAAAUCAAACAUAACUCAUUAGAUACUAAUUUAAAAUUUAAACGAUACAUACGAAUUGAUAGAAUUGGUUCCAACUGUCAUAGUAAUUUGGGCCUUGAAUAAAUUUCGUUUGAACUGAAUUUAGUUCACUUAAAUGUGACAUAUUUGAUAUAUAGUAAACUAAUUUCUUUUUCACAUACAUUUAGACCUUAAAAUUCAAUUAUCAAAUAUAUUAUUUCUUUCAUCAUACAAAUCAUCUUGCAACUUACUAAUUUUUAUUCAAUUUUACAAUCCAAAAAAAAUUAAGUUGUUUGAUAAAUUCGAAAAAUAAAUAUUAAAAAUUUAAGUACUAAAUUUACGUGAUAAAAUUAAAAUUUUAUUCAAAAUUAAUUAUGAAAUAUAAUUACUUUAUUUGAUAAAUAUAGAUUUUAAAUUAUAAAAAAUUAUAUUCUAUAUUUUAUUCUUAAUUUUAAAUAUUUCACUUUAUUUAAAAAAAUUAAAUUUUAAUUGUUAAGUUUUUAUAAGAUAAUAUAAUAUUAAAAUAAAAUAAAAUAAAAAUUUUGAAAAAAUUUUACAUUAAGUCUACUUAUCAUUUUUCAAACUACUUUAUAGAAAAAAUUCUAUCAAUUUAUUAUUUUUAGAUUAUCAAACAUAUUUUAAAAAAUAAAUCAUUAAAAAUAUUAAUUUUUAAUUGAUUUAAUUUUUUCAACCACUUAUCAAAUAACUCCUAACUCUCAAAUUUUUUUUUCUAAAAUUUGUGUAAUAUAACACUACAAUUCUACAAAUCCUAUGGAGAGAAGCAGAGAUCAAGCAUAUAUAUGAUUCAUAUAUAUAUAUAGACAUUAAAUAUGGACAAAAAGCAAUAUUAAUGCAUUGAGAAAAUAUUAUGUUCAAAGAACAUGUUAAGAAAUGGCUUAAAAUUGGUAGUGGAUUGUUGUUGUUGGUAGUGGGUUGUUGGUGGUAGUGGAUUAGUGGAUGGUUGUUGGUGUCCAUUUUCAACCACAAAUCUUUGCCAAAGUUUUGGACAAUUAUGUCCUUGAACUCUCUUAUAAAUAGAGAGGUUCAUUAGCCAUAUUGAUCAUCCCAAACCAAGAGAGAGCAAAGCUUGUUCUUUGAAAGCUAGGAUUUUAGCUUUCGGGUUUUCUAUAGGGGUUGAGAGUUGUGAGGUUCUCGGGUUGUGUCUUGAGUGUAAAACACUUGUAAUCUUCAUCUUGUUAUAGUGAAAUUUCUUUUCGCCUCUGCCCGUGGACGUAGGCAUUAAAGCCGAACCACGUAAAUCCUUGUGUUCACUUUAUUUUUCGUUCCGGUCAAUUUACUUGUAGUCAUAUCGGAGUUCUCGAAUCGAUCCUUUCCGCAACAAAUUGGUAUCAGAGCGUAGUUGAAGGAGUGAUAAUAUUUUCUGAAUUGCCCUGUGACUGCAGCUUUGUCUGAUCUUUCACAUCAGGAAGAAAAUAUUAUCAUUCAUUCAAAGGUUCCAAAUUAUGGCUACAAGUGUUUCAUCGACUAAGUAUGAUGUCGAGAAAUUUACCGGGAAAAAUAGUUUCAGUUUAUGGCGCAUCAAGAUGCGGGCAGUGCUGGUUCAACAAGGAUUGCUAAAAGCAUUGUCUGGUAAAGAUAAAUUACCAAGCACGCUUUCGGAAGAGCAAAAGGAUGACAUGCUAGAAAGAGCACAUAGUGCUAUUCUGCUAUGUCUAGGAGAUGAAGUGCUACGAGAAGUAGCGGAUGAGAAAACCGCGUCCGGUUUGUGGCUCCGGUUAGAGAGCAAGUACAUGACGAAGUCAUUGACGAACCGGCUCUACCUCAAGCAAAGACUCUAUGCCCUGAAGAUGGAGGAAGGUACACCUGUUUCCCAGCACCUGGAUAAAUUCAAUUCCAUUAUCAUGGAUUUGAAUAAUAUCGAUAACAAAAUCGAUGAUGAGGACCAAGCAAUAAUUGUUUUGUGUUCUUUGCCUCCCUCGUAUGAGAAUUUUGUUGAUACAAUGAUGUACGGUCGUGAUGACCUGACUCUAGAGGAGGUGAAAAAUGCCUUAAGUUCCAGUGAGUUGAGGAAGAAAAUCACUGGUAAGGUGGUCGAAAACAAUGAAGGCGAAGGCUUGGUUGCUCGAGGAAGAUCCAAGGCAAAGGGUGGAAGUUCAAGUAAAAGCCAUCCUAGAUCGCAGUCCAAGAAGAGAAUACAGUGCUACUACUGUAAGAAGUACGGGCACAUGAAGGUAGAUUGUCCGAAAAGGAAGGAGAAAUCAGAAUCACAGGAGCAACAAAAUGAUCGUGCGAAUGUAGCUGAUGCAGAUUCUUCAAGUGAUGCCGAGAUCGUUCUUGCAGUAUCCGACUCUUACGCUGGUGGGAGAUGGAUUCUUGAUACGGGAGCUACAUUUCAUAUAAGUACUUCGAAAGAUGCAUUCUCAACAUACGAGAAGCAUUCUGGUUCAGUACUAAUGGGAAAUGACCACGCAUGUCAAGUCAUGGGGAUUGGCACAGUUCGUAUAAAGAUGUUUGACGGUAUUGUUAGAACUCUAACUGAUGUUCGGCACAUUCCAGAAAUGAAGAAAAAUUUGAUCUCUUUGAGUACGUUGGACAAGAAAGGCUUUCGGUACUCUGCUGAAGGUGGAGUUCUCAAGGUAUUCUCGGGUGCUUUGACUGUGAUACGUGGUAAUUUGGAGCGGGGCCUUUACUUCCUCGAUGGUUCCUCGGUUACAGGUGUUGCGGGAGUGUCAUCAUCAGAUGAUCUAGAUUCUGACACCACGAAGUUAUGGCAUAUGCGGCUCGGGCAUAUGAGCGAGAGAGGCUUAUCGGUGCUAAGCAAACGAGGAUUAUUGUCUGGGCAGUGUACAGGAAAGUUGAAUUUCUGUGAGCACUGCGUCUUCGGUAAGCAGACUCGGGUAAAGUUCAGCACUGGGAUUCACAAGACAAAAGGCACAGUGGAUUACUUCCAUUCUGACCUUUGGGGGCCUUCUCCGACAAUUUCUAAAGGUGGUUACAGAUAUCUGCUUACCUUUAUCGAUGAUUACUCGAGAAAGGUUUGGGUGUAUUUUCUGAAGAGCAAGUAUGAGGUUCUCAUCAACUUCAAGCAAUUUAAAGCUUUGAUCGAAAAUCAAACAGGAAAGAAGAUCAAGCGAUUCCGGACGGAUAAUGGCUUGGAGUUUUGCUCAGGUGAAUUCAAUGAGUUCUGCAAAAAUGAAGGAAUAGUGAGACACCGCACUGUUCGUCGAACACCACAACAAAAUGGAGUUGCAGAACGCAUGAAUAGAACUCUCUUGGAGCGAGCUCGUUGCAUGCGAUCAAAUGCUGGGCUCGGUGAAGAAUUUUGGGCUGAAGCUGUUAAUACUGCUUGUUAUUUGGUUAACAGAUCUCCGUCAACAGCUAUUGAGCUGAAGACUCCUGAGGAAGUAUGGUCUGGUUCUCCUGCUGAUUACUCUGGUUUAAGAGUGUUUGGCUGCCCUGCGUAUGCUCAUGUAAAUGAGGGAAAACUCAAACCGAGGGCGAAGAAAUGCAUAUUUCUUGGAUACGGCCAAGGGGUGAAAGGAUACAGGUUGUGGUGUCCUGAUCCGGUUUCGUCCAAGUUCAUCAUCAGCAGAGAUGUGACUUUUGAUGAGUCAUCCAUGCUUCGAUCCACCACAAAUUCCCGGGAAAAGGAGGAGUCAGAUAGAAUGGGAGAUCACGGUGUUGAGAAGCAGGUGGAGUGUCAGGUGGACGCUCCAAUUCCUACGGAAGGUACUUCAGUCCAGGAUGAUCAAGUUGAGGUGCAAGAUUCCGAUGAAGAUGAGUCACCUCAAGAAAAACCAUAUAGCAUUGCCACUGGAAGAACGAAGAGACAAAUCAAACCAAAUCCGCGUUACGCUAAUCUGGUGUCUUUCGCGCUCAGUGUGGCGGAGUCCAUUGGUAUAGAACCUUCCAGUUAUAAUGAGGCUGUCACGUGUGAUGAGUCGGCACAGUGGGCAAUUGCUAUGAGUGAGGAGAUAGAAUCUCUUCACAAGAACCAUACUUGGGAGUUGGUUAAGCCGCCAAGUAACCAGAAGAUAGUUGGUUGCAAAUGGGUCUUCAAGAAAAAGGAAGGCAUCCUAGGGGUUGAAGCAACUAGAUUCAAGGCACGAUUGGUUGCUAAAGGCUUCACUCAGAAAGAGGGGAUUGACUACAAUGAAGUUUUCUCCCCAGUCGUAAAGCAUUCUUCCAUUCGUGUAUAACUUGCCAUGGUGGCCAAGUCUGAUCUAGAACUUGAGCAGCUUGACGUAAAAACGGCGUUCUUGCAUGGUGAGCUCGAGGAAACAAUCUACAUGCGUCAACCAGAGGGUUUUACAGUUCCUGGUAAAGAAGACCAUGUCUGUCUAUUAAAGAAGUCUUUAUAUGGAUUGAAACAAUCCCCAAGGCAGUGGUACAAGCGGUUUGAUAGCUUCAUGAUUCAGCAUGGUUACACAAGAUGUGACUAUGAUGCUUGUGUCUAUCAUCGGAAGCUCUCAGAUGGUUCGCACAUUUAUUUGUUGCUGUAUGUUGAUGACAUGUUAAUUGCUUCCAAAAACAUGUCGGAAAUCAACAAGUUAAAGUCGCAGUUGAGUGGUGAGUUCGAGAUGAAGGAUCUGGGUGCUGCCAAGAAAAUUUUGGGCAUGGAUAUUCACAGAGAUCGCAAGGCGGGCAAGCUUCGUGUGUCGCAGAAGAACUACAUUGAAAAGGUUCUUCAAACGCUUCGGCAUGGAUAAAGCGAAAACUGUGAGUACUCCGUUGGCACCACAUUUCAAACUCUCUGCAGAGUUGUCACCACAAUCUGAUGAAGAAAAGCAGCAAAUGUCUCACAUUCCAUACUCGAGUGCAGUUGGAAGCGUGAUGUAUGCAAUGGUUUGCACUCGUCCAGACAUUUCACAUGCAGUUAGUGUGGUCAGCAGAUACAUGAGUUGUCCUGGCAAGGAACACUGGCAGGCCGUGAAAUGGAUUCUCAGGUACUUGAGAGGUUCUGCAGAUUUAUGCUUGGUAUAUGAUCAGAGUGACUGCACUAGCAGUGUCACGGGCUAUGUGGACUCUGAUUAUGCUGGAGAUCUGGACAAAAGAAGAUCUCUGACGGGUUAUGUUUUCACUUAUUCUGGAGGAGCCAUUAGUUGGAAAGCUGUGUUACAGUCUACCGUAGCCUUAUCUACGACUGAGGCGGAAUAUAUGGCGUUAGCAGAAGCAGUGAAAGAAGCAUUGUGGAUGAAAGGUCUAGUAAGCAGUUUGGGUUUACAACAGGAUUUCACUGUUGUAUUUUGCGAUAGCCAGAGUGCCAUACAUCUGACUAAAAAUCAGAUGUUUCAUGAACGGACCAAACACAUUGAUGUCAGAUAUCAUUUUGUUCGGGAACAUGUUACGCAAGGUGACAUUGUUAUCAGCAAGGUUGCUACCGAGAAGAAUCCUGCAGAUAUGUUAACUAAGGUGAUCCCUGCAUAUAAGUUCAAGCAUUGCUUGGACUUGAUAGGUAUUCGGGAUUGAUUAGCGCCAGAGAGGCGUUUGGAAGAGGUGAUCCAGUUCGAGGAAUUCACUAUGAUGUUCAGCUUGGUAAAUUUCAAGCCAAGGUGGAGAUUUGUUAAGAAAUGGCUUAAAAUUGGUAGUGGAUUGUUGUUGUUGGUAGUGGGUUGUUGGUGGUAGUGGAUUAGUGGAUGGUUGUUGGUGUCCAUUUUCAACCACAAAUCUUUGCCAAAGUUUUGGACAAUUAUGUCCUUGAACUCUCUUAUAAAUAGAGAGGUUCAUUAGCCAUAUUGAUCAUCCCAAACCAAGAGAGAGCAAAGCUUGUUCUUUGAAAGCUAGGAUUUUAGCUUUCGGGUUUUCUAUAGGGGUUGAGAGUUGUGAGGUUCUCGGGUUGUGUCUUGAGUGUAAAACACUUGUAAUCUUCAUCUUGUUAUAGUGAAAUUUCUUUUCGCCUCUGCCCGUGGACGUAGGCAUUAAAGCCGAACCACGUAAAUCCUUGUGUUCACUUUAUUUUCGUUCCGGUCAAUUUACUUGUAGUCAUAUCGGAGUUCUCGAAUCGAUCCUUUCCGCAACAGAACAUAUCAAUGAAAAUGAAUAUAGGCAAGAAACGAAAAAAAGAAUGAACGAAAGGUAGGGGAAAAAGAUUUGAGUCGACCUGUAAUCGGAAUCAUAGUGCUGCCAUCAUGGAAUUCGUUACAGCCUCGCGCUUUAAUUCAGCAGCUUUACCGCUACCUCGGAAAUACAUGUAAACUUGCUGCGGGAUUUGAAAGAGAAAACCGAGUGAAUAAGCGAAGAAGAGGAGUAGUUUUAAAGGAAAAGAUGACGAAAGAAGAGGGGGGUGGGGGGCUACUGAACCUGAAUAACCCACAGACUGAGCAAUGAUUCGACGAAAAAGAAUGCACAGCCGAUAAAGUAGAAUAUCUUCAUGUCAAGCAUUUUACAGAGUUGUGAUGAUUAGUGAAGGAUAAACAUGCAAAGGUCAAAUUCUAGUAUUAGUUAUUAUAUUAUGCAUAAGUUUUGGUUUUAGUCAUUGUAUAUUUGGUGAUUCUUAGUUUCUAUUCUUUUUAAAAUUAGAAUUUUAGUCCAAACUCAAAUUGUAACAAUUAUACCAUUAAUUAAAUUAUGUUAUUUCAAAAAUUUUAUACAACAUUAAUUUUAUUAUAUGCAUAACAUCAUAUCAGCUUCCUAAUUCAGUAAUAUAUUUAAAAAAUUGAAUUUAAUGGUUUGAGUUAUAAUUUAAAUUUCAAAAUUCAAAAAGUGUAGAGAUUAAAAACAAUCAAAUUGAAGAAUUAAGACUAAAUCAAUAACUUACUUAUAGUACAAGACUAAUAUCAGAAUUUGACUUCAUUGGGUUUAAUAGUUACAAUUUGGGUCAAUAAUGAAAUUUGAAAUUUUGAAAAAGUAUAGAAAUUAAAGUUAACGGGUUCAAUUAAUCGAACCUUAGUUAUAUUACAACAACAAAAACGUGGAUUUAAGCACACUUCAACGUGUUUUUCUCUCCAAUAUAAGGGUUUGGAGGGAGCAAUAUAUGGAUAGUAGGCAUUGUAUCAAAAAAUAUUGACUCACUUAAAAGAUACAAACAUUAAAAUUGACCAAACUAAAGUAUAAUGACUAAAUCCAUACUGUAAGCAUAAUAUAGUGAUUAAUAGCAGAAUUUGACAUUGUUUUAGUAUAAUUCUAUAGGAGGAUACAUAGUAAAAUCAGGUUCCCGUGAAGUAAAUUAUAGCAUUGUAAUGGCAAGAAACUUACCCCUACCGCAGCAUCAAUGCCGAAAAGAUCUAUUGCAGGCAAAAUACCUCUGUAUAAAGAAUUACGCCAUAAAGACAUCAGUAAAAUAUUACUACAAACAAUCAAAUACAAGGUAAGAGUACGUUCGAGUCUUGUAUUAAGAUUUAGAUUAUAAUUUAUUCUCUUUAUAAAAAAAAGAAACAAAUUAAUUUUUGUAUAUUAAAUUAAAAUCUUUAAGUUAAAUUUUUUUAUUUAUUUUUACAAUUAAAAAUUGUCAUGAUUGAUAGAGUAAUCAGACAAUUACACCAUGAGUGCCACAAGUAUCUCGUGUCGAUAUGUAAAGAUCAAAUUUUAACAAUAGAAAUGAAUGAAAUUUUUAACAGAAUGAUCAAUUUACUCUUUGAUGUAAUGUAUAAUGAUUGCUUUACUCACUUUUUGAAUAAAAAAAUAAAAAUUCCUAUUACAAAAGCCUCCAUGAUACAUUUAUCAAUACUAAAAUUGUAGUACUUGAAUGAUAAAAUCAAAUAAACUUACGCAAUAGACUUUCCCUUGAAAAGAAAUGGAGGAGCAAUUGUAGCAAAGAUGCAAAAGAAGAUAUGCAACUACAAGGUAGAUAAGAAGAGUUAGAAAUUAAUGAGGAGCUUUCCGAUAUAUCUUUGAUUACUAAAAGAAAAAGAAAAUUACAGUGAGAAAGCAGUAAGCUUACAAUGUAAAAUAUGAAAAACCAUCCGAACUUCAAUGCACUAUCAGUCCUGUAAAGGAACAGGAAUAUAACUAUAUAAGAACAGUUCAAACUCAGCUACGUUGUUGAAGCUGAAUUUCGGUGAUGCAUGGUUGAGAUACUGUGUGGGAACAGGAAAAUAACUAUAUAACAACAGUUAAAAUUCAGCUCACAAUGUUAUUUUAUUCGUUUGAUACAUAAUUAUAGUGUUUUUUUGAGUUAUAAUAUAUUAGAAGUUUAUGUACUCUUCUUAAAUUUGAAAAUUAGUCUAUUAAUUUUUCAUAUUUUAAAAUUGAAGUUUCAUUGUUAACAUUUUAAAAUUUAUUGUUAAAUUUAGAUUCAUUACAAUAAUAUUAUUUUUUUAGUAAAAUAACUACAAGGUGAUUGUUUCUUUUUAAUUUCAAAAUGUCACACCAAUAAAAUUAACAAAAAAAUUUCUAAAAAUAAAAGUAUAAAAAUAAAAUUUCAAAUUUGUAAAGAAUACAUAGAUUUAUGACAUAUUUAAUUUCAAAAUAUUAUAAUAAUAAAUUUAAAAAGAAUUAACAAUUUUAAAUUAAAAAAGUAAAGAGAUUAAAUAUUUAAAAAAUUUUAAGUUUGGAAUCUAUGAACACUAGAGAGAUCUGGCCUUGCUUUAACUUUUAGCGUAAAUAGACAGCUUGAAUGUAAAAUAAAUAUAGAAUAACCAAAAAGUAGUACCUCAUGGCACGAUAAAGAGGGCGAUACCACAAAUAAUAGGCACCAGGAACCCCACAUAACAAAUAAAUGAUGGCAAGAAACCAAAUUGCUGGACCUGGAAUGAAUAUACAUUCCUAAUAUGAGUAAGUACGCCAAAUGAACAGUAAUUUUAAAGUACUAAAAUUAAUAACUUUUGAAAUCCACCUUCACAUUUGAUCCAGGCGGCAGUGACGGCUAUUAUGUUCCAUGCAAGACAUGCAACCAAACCUGUCAACAUACAAAUAAAUUUAGAGACUUAUAAGGUAAAAGUUCCUUUACGGUGUCUCUCAAUUUUUAAAUCAAAUAAAUUAGUAUUUUUUUAAAAAUUGAAGUAAUUUAAUUUUUAUUAAUUUCGAAAGUGAGUAAGUAAGAAUAACUAAUCACGAUGUUAAUAUUUUUUUUAAUUGUACAUAAUUUUAAUUGGUACAAUAAUAAAUUCAACCUUAACAUUUAUACAUUUAUAUGGAUGUUGCACGACAAAUUUAUUAAAUUAUAACUAAAUUGAUAAAAAUGUGUAAACUUUUAGGGCUAAAUUUAUUAUUAUACCAAUCAAAAUUAUGUACAAUUGAUGAAAAAUAUUAAUGUUAUAAUUAAUUAUCCUUAGUUAUUCACUUUCAAAAUUGACAGAAUUAAAUUAAAUUAAUUUUUUUUAAAUGGUCAAUUUGCACAAUUUUGAAAUUGAUAGUAACUGAAGAGGUCUUUUUACCCACUUAUAACUCAAAAGUAGAGCACCAUAACAAUAUAGCUUUCAGACAUUUUCAAGAUAUGAGAGAAAUAAAUAGAGCUGAGAAAGAGAAACUGAACUAAUAGCACAAUCCAAACAGGGACACACUUAAAAAAUAAGUAAAAUGGCCUUGAUCUUAACUCACCUAACAAUGUUGAGAAAGCAACAUACUGCACAUUUUGAAGGUGGAUUGGUAUUUCUUUUGCAAUGUUAUGAUGAAUAAUAGGAUAAAAUGGUGGCCAAUUUUUGUCCUCUAUGAUUAUUCCAGCUGCCAAGGAGAAGACAAAGGAAUAUAUUGCAAAAUCAGAUUGGUAUCUGAAGCUCGUUAAGUCAUCUAUAAUAAACAAAAUAAAAACCUACAUCGUGCGAUUGCAUCUUCCUUUCUUUUCAAUUCCUGCAUAAUAUUAAAGAUAACACUCAGUAUGAGGAAAUUUUAUUUUAGAUGGAAUUGUGAAAUCACUCUACGCACCAAUUUAUCAUCAAAGUUUAAAUGCAUCUAAAAAGAAGCAUUUGAAAUUUUUGACGAUUUAUUAUUGUUAUUAAAAAAGUGUUUUUAAAAAAAAAUAAAAUGUUUAUUUUUUUUACAGACAAUAAAAUAUCUAUUUUAAAUAUGAUAUGUUGAACUUCUUUAAUAAAGAUAUGGAAGUAGUUUCAACCGAAAGCAAGAGCAAAAAAAAUUAACUUUUUGAUUUGGGUCAAAAUUUUUAAUCUAGUUUAAAAUGUAUUUUUUACUACAAUGAUAAAUGAAACUUACAUAGAUUGAUUUCUAAAUUCACAUUUAAGAAUUGCUAUAGAAUUUAUUCAAAAUUAAAAAGGAAAAUAGUUCAGAACCAAAUAUAUUCUACAAGCAUUAGGAAUAAACUAAAGUAUCGAGUAAAAUUUGAUACUGAAAAACAUGAUUUUGAUUUUUAAUGCCAAGGUGCCAGUAAUUUGAUUGUUUUGCAAAUAUAUAAAAUUGAAACUGCAAUAUGAAAGGAGGAACAUAUCAACAUUGACACCGAAAACCUCAAACAAUGAACUGGAAGUACCUUGCUCAAGUACAAACAAGCAACAACAAAUCACCUGUUCUCGCCUUCUCAGUUCAGCCUCUCUUGCUUGAAGUUCCUUCUCCUUGUCUUUUAAACUCUACGAUUGAUGAGACAAAAAUGACAGAAAGGAGUCUAUUACUUAAUGUUUAGAACCAUGCAUCGUAGACAAUUGAAUACCUAGAAAGUUUUAAGAUUACCUUGACAGAAUCACGAGGAAUAUCUAUCGUUGCACCACGGUCAUAUGGUUCAGGAGGAAGUGGUGAAAGCCUUGAUGAAGCAGUACCUUGAUUCUAAUUUAAAUAAUAAAAAAAUAAAAAAAUAAAUGCAAAACAAUCAAGAUAGCUAGCACUUGCAAGAGUCACUAUAUUAUGCAAGCAGAAAAAAAUGAUGAAAUGACUUUUUAAGCCCCCAUAAUUUUGAUAUUGAGCAAAUUGGUCCCUCUAAAAAAUCGGAGCAAUUUAAUCCCCGUCAAUUUUAAAAUUAACCAACUAGGGACAAUUAAUUAUUACAUUAAUGUCUUCUGUCAAUUGUAUGACAUUUUAAUUGGUAUAAUAACCUCAAGUUACUCAUUCUAUUAAUUUGGUCUUGAUUUAACAAAUUAGCCCACACCAUUUGUUUAAAUGUGGAGGCCAAAUUUGUUGGAUUUUUUUUUAAAUCAAGACCAAUUUGAAAAACAUGUAAACAUCAAUGGCUAAAUUUAUUAUUAUAUCAAGCAAAAUGAUGUAAAAUUAACAAGAAAUUAUUAACUUAGUGAUUAAUUAUCCUUAGUUGCUUACUUUCUAAAUUGAUAGAGAUAAAAUUGCUCCGAUUUUUUUAAGAGGGACCAAUUUGCUCAAUAUCAAAAUUGAAAUGGACAGGAAAGAGAAUUUUACCGAAAGAAACUUGUAUGCAAAACUGCAUACAUGGAUAAAAAAAGUAAGCAAGUCACAAUAGACACAGUCAAAUAAUUACAGUGCAAGAAACAUUAGCAGAUAUAAAUAUUUCACAAUGAAAGCAAGGUAUAAGCUAAUGGGAACAAGUACACACUACACAGUAUUCACCAGGGGAAAAACAAAAGAAGAAGCCAUAUACCAUGAUAAUCAUUUAUCUUCUUGUUCUUAUUUUUUAAAUUCAUAUUAACUUGUCAAAGUUUUAAAAGCUAUAUAUCUAAAAAAAAGUGACAAUCGUAAGAAAAAAAAACCAGUCCUAAAUUCAAAUGAUCUUGUCUAUGUUUAAAAAGAUACAUCUCAUAAGAUGACAAUAUUGGUAUCUAAUAUUCAGUUUCUUUCAAUUCAUAGCUUCUCAUUUGUCAAGAAAUGCAAUAAUAAUAAUAAUAAUUCAAAAUCAACAUUGUUACUAAAGCUACAUUAUGGAACGCACGUCACUGGUAUCGGCAAUGAAACAGAUCUAAUAAUUAAGCCGAUCAAUGACCCGAAUCAACGAAAACAUUGCCAAAAAAAAAAAGGAAACAGAAAUUCAAGAAUUCAAAUCCACAUCAAAGGUAUUUUCCGUUUAUGGAAAAAUCAGGUACGGAUACGUAAAAAAAACGUGAGUACAGAACGAACUUACCGAGAAAGGAUUCACCUCAUCCUCAUCGAAAGGGCUAGAAUCGAAACGAUUCAUGGAAUCACGAAGAUGAAAUUACUAACACUGAAAAUGAUGUGAAAAUGAGAGAGGAAUUUAUUGGAUUUGGAUUAUUUUUGGAAAUGGAGACUGUUUGUUUGAAGAGAAAAUAUGGAAGGAAAAAUAUAUAACGAGGGAGAAAUUGGCGGGCCGCGGCUGGGGUUUAAAUAAGAGUUGAUAAUGGGCUUGGUUAGCUUAUUCACGUCAUAUUUAGGCCCAAUUAGUAUUUUAUUAUAAAAAUAUAGUAAAUUAAAUUAUUAUUUUAAAAAAAUAUGGUGGUUUUCAGUAGAGGUGAUCAUAGACUGGGCCGAGCCAGGACCAAGCAAAAAUUUAGGCUCGUUUGCUAGAGUUGGGGGCAACCUAAAAAAUUGGCCUAAAAAUUGUAUAAGCCCAGCUCAAAUAAAAAUGCUAAAACCCGAGCCCAAUCUGGCCCUCCCAUAUUAAUUUUUUUAUAUUAUAUUAUUUUUUACAUAAUUUUUUAAAUAUAUAUAAUACAUAAAAAAUACUAAAAAUAUUAAAAUAAAUAUUUUCGAACAAAUUAAAAAUAAAAUUUUAAAAAUAUGUAUACUUAAAUAAUACUAAGAUAGAUGCAACUUAACAAGAAAAUAUCUCUAAAAUAAUAACAAAAUUAACAAUAAAACAAGUGUUAUACAAUAUUCAAACAAUAACAACAAAAUAGUAGCAAUGUAAUAAUGAAGUGGUAGCAAAAUAGGGAGAAAACAAGAAGAAAAUGUCAUUAAAAUAACAAAAAAAAUAUUUUUUUUGUCAUUUAGUAAAUCUAGACUGGGUCCGGCUCUAGUAAAAAUGUCUUACAUGAGGCGGGCCCAUUUUUCGGGCCUAUAUUUCUGUCGAAAUCCUCCCACUUUUCAGGCGAGCCUUCGGGAUGGGCCAAGUGGCCUAGCCCAUGAGCACAUCUGGUUUUUAGAUAUAUGGUAGAUUUUUUGUCUUCAAAAAGUGAUCCCAUCACGUUAAAUGACGAGCUCAUUAUGCAUGCAGACCUGUUCAUGAAUCGAGUUAUCCACCUAAACUCGAAGGCUCGUUUGAAAUUUAGAGCAAUAGGGGUAAAAAUAUUAGGUCUGAAAAAUAAGUUUGAACAAAAAAUUUUAUGUCCGCUUAAAACAUGGGUUGGGCUUGAACAUUUAAAGCCCAAACCUAACUCGACCCAUUUUCUAUAUUUAUAAUAUGAUAUAUUUUGUUAUUUUUAUAUAUUAUAUACUUUAUAACAAAUAAAAACUAAAUCUAUAGUAAUAUGUAAUAGUAUAAUGUAAAUAUUUUAAAAAUUGUUAAGAUGGCAAUAUAAAAUUUUAAUAAAUGAAAAAAAUAUUAAAUAUUACAUUAAAAUUAAUAUAAUUUUUUUAAAAAUUCAAAUAAAAAUUAUAUGAACGGGUUUAAAAUGAGCUUGGGUUAGCUAUUUACAAAUAUGAGGGAGUUUGGUCAAAAUUUUAGCUCCAUAUUUUGAGUUAGGUUGAGCAUGAGCAAAUAUAAAGUAUAUUAACAUCAUAUUUGAUCCUGGCCCAAAUUCGACUCGGCCCGACAUAUGAACCACUAUAUUAUGAUUUCAAUAAAAUGUAACUUUUGCAAGGAGAAAAUUACAAAUUCUUCUCACAAAAAUUUCAUAUGGCUUGUAAUAUUUGCAUUCCUCGCAAUUUAUUUUUUCAUCAAAGUUUCACACAAUAUCACAUUCCCGGGCUUGACAACGGUCUGUCCAGUCAUCUCACAUUGACUCCAACAGUGUCCCUAAGUUUAUGUUCAACAUCUUAUCAGUUACACUUGUGAAAUAGUGUUUUGUGUUGGAACCCGCCAACAUCCCUCUAUAAAUACCCCAUUUUAUCACCAAAGCUAGACAACAAUAACAAAAGAAGACGUAUGAUAAUUUAUUUCCAUAUAGCCAACACUCAACUUAAAUAUCCUUCUAAUUUAGUGACUCUCCACAUCUCUUACGGUGUGAAUCAUCAUCAAUUUUUAAUAAACGAUAAUCCGAACUUAAACUAAUAUUAAUUAAUAGGCUACAACUUAAGAUUCCAACCUCUACCACCGUAAUAGCUCUCCACAUUUCUACGAUAACGCUGAUAAUCCCAAUCAUCUCCUCUUGAAUUUCCUUUGUUGCCAGUUAUGUCAACUUUCUAUUCAUUAAGAUCCAUUUUAGAUUUUGUAAUAAAGUUUUAAAUUCAAUAAUAUCUGUUUAAAUUCAGGGAAAAAACAUGGAAAAGAAGUCGAAUUUUGAGCACCACUUAUAAUUUUUUUUUUCCCGACAGAGACAAAAUGGUUACUUUUCAUUGAUGUCCAAAUCCUCUCACUAAAUCUACAAAAAAGAAAACAAGUAAACAUAAUUAUGUCACUUUAAUCCCUGUUUUCCACAUGGCUAUUGAAAAGUCAAGAUCAAUAAUGUCGUUUUAUAAUCAAAACUGGGACAAAAAUAUCAUUUUUGCCUUAUUUAUUAUUAUUUAUUUCUUCUUCUUGCCUUUUCUUUCUUUUGGUUAUUUUGUUGGAUAUUAAAAUGAGAAAUCAUUAAUAUUUAAGGGAAUAACAGUUUAAAUUUUAGAAAUAAUAUUAUUAGAAAAAGAUAAAUAUGAAUUUAGAAAGAGUUAGCCUUCAUUUAGAAGCGAUACCAAGAGAGUUAGCGAGUGUCUCAAUUCUCUAAAAUGAAAAUUUUCGUUUUCGUUUUUAACCUUUUAAAUUUUAUAAAAUUUUAAAUUAAUAUAUGGUAAAAUUAUACUUUAACUUUUUAAAAGUAAUAAAUUUAAUUUAUUAAUUUAAAAAUUAUAAAGAGAUAAACUAUUGAAAUGGUAAAAUUAUAUUUUAACUCUCUCUAAAAUAUACAAUUUAAUUUUGGUUCCUCAAAUUUUCUAACUUCACCUCUUUCUUCAUGGAUGGUAAAAUGUAUUAAAUAAGAUGUUCAUCAUACACACACAAAAAGGGAAAAGGAUUACAAAUAAGAAAAAUGAUUGAAUAAAAAUAGUUAUGUGAGGCCAUACUAUAAUAUAUUUGUUCAAAAUUGUAUCCUUUAAUUAUCAAUGAAGUUCUAGUAUAGUUGGCAAAGGUAAAAGUUUUGGGCCUUGAAUGCUUAAGUUCAACGCUUAUCACAUGUAAAUUAUAAAUGACGUAUUCAAGUCUGAUCAUAUGUUGUCAUCAUGUACGAGUUUUAAUCCAGUUAGUCGAUUUUAAUUUGGAUUAUUUUAGUCCUUACUUUGUUUGUACUAUAAUAGUUUGAUUUUUUACUUUGUCGGUUGCUCGAGCAUAUAUUUAUAUCUAUACUUGUAUUUUGAUUGUACUAUACUUGUAAGCUUUAAAAAAAAGAGUACCACGAAAUUAGAUUUGUCUAUAAAUUGGAGUACUUUUUGAACUUGCUAAGCUCAACCCAUAAAAAAUCAAACGUUAGGUAAGAAAUUUUUGAAUUUGGGUCAGAUCAGAAAUUAAAAUAUUCUUUUUAACCCUUUAAAUCUAUCUAAACUUAUAAAAAUAAUAAAAGAUUUUUAAAUUUGGGUUUUUAACUUUAACAUUUAUUUGUUAUAUUUAAUGUAUAAUAAAUAAUUAUUUUUUAAAAGAAAAAACCUAAAUAUAUAACAUGGUCCCAAUGAAAGUGACUUGACAUAAUUAUUUCAUACCCCAUUUCGUCUAGAAUGAUUGAUUAAAGUCUCACGCGAGGAUUCUAGACGGAGGAACUCGAGGAUUCUAGACGGAGGAUAUCUUAAGCCCCUUAAAAUCUACAUAUAUGAGUUUAGAGGAGAUAAAAUUCGAUUCAAUUAAAAAAAUUUAAUAAAAUAUUUAAAAUUUGGAUUAAAUAAUUUAAAUUAUUUGAGUUGAUCGAAUUAUUCGGAUUAACUCAAAUAAAAAAUUAAAAUUUUCAAUUUAACUCAUAUAUGAAUUAUACAAUUUAAAUUAUCUAAAAAUUUAAAUAAGAAAAGGUAAAAUUACGUUGUUUUGAUAAAUGAUUACCUUUUCUAAAGUUAAAAGUCAAAAUCAUUAAAUUAAAAAGUAAAACUACUUCAUUUUGAUAAAUGUUUACCUAUUAAGUUAAAAGGUAAAACCAUUUAUAUAGUUAAAUAAUAUUGUACUUUGUCUACUAGUUAAAUAAUUGAUCUAUGUAAAUGCAACAUUGAGUAUAAAUAAUAUGAUUCGUUAACUUGGCUCGAAAUUUUUUGACUUGAUUCAAUUCGAUUUGAAAAAAAUUCAAAUUGAGUUCGAUUGUAAAAAUAGGAUCCGCCAACUCAACUAACUCGAAAUUUUUUGACUCGGUUCAACUUGACUAGAUUGAAUGCCCAACCCUAUAUAAGUUAUUAGAACCAUUCGGUUAAUUUGAUUUUUCCUAUUAAAUCAAUUAAAGUCUCAAGUAUUAUAUUUUUGUUAGUUAUUAUUCGUUACCAAAAUUUAACCGCAUUGAUCGAUUUAUGUAUAAUAUUGUUAACAUAUUAAUAAUAUAUAAUAAAAUAUACAUAAAAUAAUUAGUUAAUUGAUUUAACGUUAAUAAUUUAUGCUUAUAUUUUAUUUGUGUAUCUUUCUUGUGUCGUAUGGCUAAAAACAAGCGUUUGGUGACGGGGUGGAUGCAAGGCUAGUUCACUCAUGUGGGUGGAGAGUCGUCGAGUUUGGGGAUUAGGUGUUCCUAUUGGAGUGGUAAAGAGACUGAAGGGGGAAAUUGGAAAAGUAUGGACUGCCUUUGCUUCUCACAGGGGUGGGAUGAAUUCAUAUAUCGAUGCAACAUACCAGCCUUUGGUUGGUUCAUUGGUCUUUGUCAUUAGCCUGUCUAAGAACUUACAAAGAUGAGUGAUAUGAUAUUAUAAAGUAUGUGGAUGAUAAAAGAUGAUUGUCCUAUCAAUAUAAAUAAUUCACCUGACAAUAGCGUCUCUAUAUUUCCAAAGAUUUAAGUAAUAGUAUCUCGAUGGAAGUUUAUUGGUAAUGUACUAGUUGUCUCAUGAAUGUAUCACGUGCAUCCGAAGUAUAUUAUUUUGAGGAUCUUUUUAAUAUUUUAUAUCUUUUUUAGAUAAAAAAUAAAAAAAUGCAUACGUAUAAUAUGAAAUGAAUCUAAAACAUUAUAGUUUUCAAUAUCUUCACUUUACCAUUUCAACAAAAGAUUCAUUUAUUUUUAUAUUAAUUUUUAAUAAAUAUAUUUGUUAUAUAAUUCUAUUUUUACUUGCAUCAAAUCUAUCAUAAUUUAGUAAUUAUAUUAUGUCGGGUUUUGUUAUAACAAUAAUACUAAAAAAUUAAUUAAUUACAAAAAUAGAGUGUUUUCUAUAGUGUUUUUCGGUAUUGCCUGAUUAGUUGGCGGCACCAGAUUGAAGUAUAAUGAAGCAAAACGUUCAGGGACUUGAUAUAAAACUUUCCUCUUUUAGAUUGGAUGUUGUAAAGAAAAACUUAAGGGUGAUGCCUAAUAGUAUAGCGAUACCAAAUAUAUUUUGGGGGAUAAUUGUUUCAUAAACCUUUUCUUGUUUAUUAUUUUCUUUUUAAGGUACUUCCGUUUUUUAAAAUAAACCCUACUUAUUAUUUUCCUUUUAAAACCAUGCAGUAAAUGAUGUUUUUAUCUGUAAAUAUUGAACUUGUUUGAGGAUUAAAUUAAUUUAAUAAUUGAGAGGACUAAUUUGAUUUAGCCCUUAUAAUAGAGGGGCCAGAUUCAAACAAUUAUAAUUGAGAGGGUUUAAAAACAAUCAAAUAACUUCAACAUUUAUCGAUAAAAAUAUUAUUUACUACGUGACUUUAAAAUGAAAAUAAUAAGCAAUGAAUGGUUUAUUUUAAAAAAAUGAUAGUACUUUAAAAAGAAAAUAAAAAAUAAGAAAGGGUUUAUAAUGGAAUUAUCCCUUAAUAAGUAUUUGAUGUGUGCAUCCUUAAGUUAUUUUUUUACAACAACAAUCUAGAAGGGAGAAGUUUUAUAUCAGAUCCUUGAACGUUUUAGUUUAUCACAUUUCAGUUUGAUACUAUUAAUAUGUCAAACGACAUUGAAAAACACAAAAGAUAACACUUUAUUUUCGUAAUUAAUCUGUUUCAUUCAAUUUUUGUAAUUAAUUAAUUUUUUAGUAUUAUGUUUAUAAAAACCCUAUUUUGCCCCGUGCAUCAAAGGUGAUGGACCUACAACCUUGAAGAUUGAGCCAAAGACACAAACAGCUGUAGAAACCAUUAUGGUGAACCUGUAAGAUAGAGACUGCACCUUGGGUGCCACCGUUCACUCACCUCAGCCACUUAUCAAUGAACCAUCCUUUGGUAGAUAGGAUAUAAAGACAAACCCCAAUGAUAUGGUUGUUUAAUCAUAAAUACCAUACAAUACAAACAAUAUACGAUAAAUAUAUGUAAAAUAAUUUAAUAUAAUGUACAAAUUAAAUUUUAUAUUUUAUUUAGGGAUAAAACAAGAUUUAAUAUAUAAAUUUUGUAAUUUUUCUUAAUUUGGUCUCUAUAUUUGAAUUUAAUUCAAGUAUGACAGCAUACAACAUCAUCCCUUUUUAAAAUUAUACAAAAUCUAAAUAAUAUUAAAAUAUAUAUAUGUUUAAAAAAUUAAAAAAUUUCAAGUGAUAAUAUAACAUAAUCUCAUAGUCUUAUGUAAUCGUACUUUAACAGAAUCUAAAUUUAAGAGUCAAUUUGUGAAAAACUGCUAAGUUUCGAGACAAAUGUGAACCGAGAAAAUAUUUCUAAUUUAAUCCCUAAACUUUGAUUUCAUUAAAGUGUGUUGAUGUGACAUUUUAAACAAGGGUGAAGUGAUUUAUUUUGAGGGCGAAUUUUAAUUGUAUAUUUUUAAGAGAGUUAAAAUGCAAUUUAAUCAUUUUAAUAGUUUGUAUCUUUAUUACAUUUUAAAGAAGUAAAUAAAAAUUUUAUAAUUUUUUUAGGGUCAAAGUGAAAUUUUAUUAUGUACUGCCGAAAUUGAAUAUUUUUCUUAAUUAUAUAAAAUUUAAAAAAUACAAAAAUAAAAAUUCUAUUUUUAAAAAAAAAUUCUUUUAGGUAAUAGCAUAUCACAAUCUUAUAAUGUCAUGUCAUUAUAUUUUAAAGGAAUCUAAGUUUAAAAAUUAAAUUGAGAAAAGCAGUUAAAUUUCGAGACUGAUGUGAACCAAAAAAAUUGAAGGACCAAAGUGAAAAAAAUACCAAAUUUAAGAACUAAAUAUUAAUUUGUCCCUAUCAUUUAAUAUAUUAAUUUUACAAAUCAAAAUUAUUUUCUUAAGUAUGACAACAAACAACACAAUUAUUAAAAAAAAUAUCAAAUCCAUGAAUAUUGAAAAUUGACAUUGUAUUUUGUCGAUUUUGUUUCCUAAAGUAAUUUUACCUCCAUGAGACUCCAACCUUAUAACGGAUAGACAGGAAUCAUCAAAAGCAAACAACAUUUGAUUUGUUCCAUCAACAAAAAAUUCAUUUUAAAUUCAAAGUUUGGCUCGAAAUUAAAAAAUAUAUAUAUAAAAAUUAAUUUCGGAAAAUAAAAUUCAUUUAAAAAUAAAAAAUUAAAUAGUUAAAAAAUUAUUUUAUAAUUUUUCAUAAUUGGGUGGUAAAAAAAAAAAAGAACAGAACUAUAAUCGAGUGACUAUUAAUAUAGUUUAUCCAAAAGUAAAAGAUAAUAUGAGUAGACUUAAACGAGUUUGCGUUAGUCAUUUACAAAUAUAAUUAGACUUGAACAACAUUUGAGACUCGUAUUCUAGAUCGACUUGGGCUUGGAUAACUAUGCAUGAUAUUGAUGUCAAGCACAAACAUGAUUUGAAUCUAACUCAAUCCAAUCCAUAAACAUAUGUAAUUAAUUAGUGUAUUAUUAUUAAAAAAAAACUUAUUCUAUGAACUCUCAUAGAAAUAAAUAGUUUAAUAUUUGAUAAGGAAAUUUAAAAUUAUAUAUGCAUUUUUUAUUUUUAUUUUUUUAUUGUUUAUAACUAGCUUGAGUUUUAUAAUAAAAAAAUAUUUAUGUUUCAACAAAUUUCAAAUAUUAUUCUGUCACAUACAGUCCUAUCAUGAAACUUUCUUUUCAUUGUAUAAUAUGUGUCGAUAUAAAUAUAUAUAUUCCAUACUAAUUUUAGUAAUGAAUUUGAGACCGUCCAAGUCGAAUUGGGAAAAUAUCAAGAAUAUUUUUUAAAAGUAAUUUUGAUUAUAAAAUAAACAACAUUUUGGUUGGUAAGGAUAGGAUUUUUCGAAUUGAGUCAUUAUAAAUUUAGAUAAAUUUAGGUUACUGUCACUUUUAAUUUUAUUUAUUCAAAUUAUUUCAUAUUUAAGUUAUUUUAAGAUUAAAUCGUUUUGGGUUUUAAUUGUUUUAAGUUCGAGUAAGUUUCGAAUUGAAGUGAAGUUUGAGUUGUUAAUUUUUAAAAGUUUCUAAAUUUAAAUCGAGUUGGAUAUUUUUUGAAAGUUUUAGUAGUGCAAAUAUAACUAGUAUAAUGUAUAAAGGAUGAAGAAUUAAAUCAAUUCGGACAAAACUUACACAUAAUAUAUGCAUAUGAUGAAUGAGAGAUCCAUACGUUAUACUUACAAAUAAUGAGACUUGAAUUUGAAAAUUUAUAAACUCAAAAUCUUCACCUUAACUAACUCGUCGAUGAGUCGUGGAGUCGGAAUUAAGUUAAAAUAUGAGAAAAAAAAUAUUUAAGAUGGGCAUGCAUGGUGCCAAUUUGUCGGAGCGGGUUGACUGUAUAGUAUAUAGUCUAUGGUCUAUGGUCCCCUUCUAAAUUCCUAGGUGUACCCCAAAGAAUCUAAAUUCCUAGGUGUACCCCAAAGAAUCUAAUCUCUCUCCCGAAAAUGACAACACCCCCAUCAAUUGCGGUCGAGAACCCAUCGAACACUUCAACCAUGGUGCUUCAAUAAAAAUAAAGUUAAACUAUGUAUUAUCACUAAAUUAUAAAUUAUCAAUAUGUUUAUAUUUUAAUUAUUUAAUUUCAAAAAUUAUAAAAAUGACUUUCGUUUAAGUUAUUGAGCUGUUAAAAUCAUUGUUAUAUGACUUCUUCUUAUUUGUACUGUUUGCAUCAAUCAAAAGUUUUUAUUCCUCUUGUACAAAUUAUUUUUUUCAUUAAAUAAUUUUGAAUGAAAUCUGCAAACCAAAUCUAUAAUAUUGAUCUUCAGAUCAGUUUUGAUCUAAGAUAUAUCUUCUACUCACUAAUAAAUACAGAUUCAUAAUACCGAUUGUUGAAUCAUCACUUGUACCUCACUAAUUGAACUUAAAACAAAACAAAAAACAAAAAAAAAACUUAACAACUCAAUAACAUAAAUAAAAACCUUUUAAUAGUUUAUUGACUUAAAUGAAAACUUUUAAAUAAUUCAGUGAUCAUUUUAUAACUUUUUAAAAUUAAGUGACUAAAACAUAAAGUUACUAAUAAUUUAGUGACAUUGGGUGUAAUUUACCUAAUAAUAUGAUAACCACCAUGCCAAAGAUUUUUUUUUAUAAAGAUUUUUUUUUUAUUUCUUCAAGUUGCCAUAGCACCCAACAUUUUCAUUUUACUUGCUACCUUUCUUUUCGUUUUGUUUCGUUUCUUUUCUGUCCCUUUAUGGAAGCUGAAGCUAGCAAUGGCAAUGGCAAUGGCAAUGGCAAUGGUUGCUCCAAUGAUCACGACAUUAUCCGCUGGUUCGACACCAUAUCGACCAACGUCGCCAUGGUUCAAAGAGAAACCCUUCGCCAGAUCCUCGAGUUGAACCGCGGCGUCGAGUACUUAAAGAAAUGGUUCGGGGACAAGGAUUUGGAUAUUCGAGAGAUGGAUGCAUGUGAAAUGGAAUCGCUUUACACUUCUUUGGUACCUUUAGUUUCCCAUGAAGAUUUAGAGCCUUUUAUUCAACGAAUUGCAGAUGGGGACACUUCUCCUAUUCUUACCCAACAUCCUAUUACCACACUGUCUCUAAGGUAAGGACAUUGUUCAGCUUUGGGACAAAACAUGGCUUACAUUCAUGACCCUUGUCUUAAAGUGUAUUGUAAAGGUACCUCUAUCUCUUUUUUGUAAAGGUACCUCUAUCUCUUUUUUUUAUGUCCAUGUUAUAUCUUAAGAUAAUCUUGAAACAAAUUCAGUUUCUUAAAACAUCGUAUUAGUUUUGUGUUCAAAAGAAUGGUAGAGAUUUCAUGGCAUCUUCCUUUUAGUGAAAUUAUAUAAAUUUGUGGUUCUUGUGCUUAUGUUUUCAUUUAGUCAAGUUUGGUCUGUUUCAGGUUUAUAUCGUUUUUGGUUUGUAUAGUUUCAUCUUUGUGUUCUAGUCACUUCAUAUUCAAGUAAUUUUGAGCUUAAAUUGGUUAUUGUUCGAAUAAGUUUUGCGUAUGAUUACAUUUAAGUUUAAAUUGAACUGGUUUAAAUUGUUAAUUUUUUAUGAUUAAAUCAAAUUGAAGCAAGUUUAGAUUCGAAUUAAUCUAUAUGAGUUUUGGGAUUUUUUUAGUCUUCUCUAAAAGUAUUAAUCAAAGUUGCCUUACUAUAAUGAUGCUAAGAGAGUUUGGUACAAAGACUUUAUUUCACUUAUCAUAAAUGUACUUUCUGUCCUAUGGAACCUUCUUUUAUUACCCAAAAAAUGAGUAUAUUUCAAAAUUUACUCCUCCAUAUUUUGCAGAUGAUUUUUUCGUAUUAAAUUUAAAUAAAAUAUAAUUACUAUUUUCGUCGUUUAAUUUAAAUAAAUUUACUUACGUUUCUCGUUUGCAGCUCCGGUACCACCGAAGGUCGACAAAAGUUCAUACCAUUUACCCGUCAUAGCUCGAAGACAACUUUGCAGAUCUUCCGAUUAGCAGCAGCAUAUAGAUCAAGGUCCUCCCUUUACCUCUUUCAUUUAAAUCACUACUUGGGGACAAAUCGAUAUUAUUAUAAUAAUUCAUUAGUCGAUAACAUUCGUUAUGUGUUUUAUAGGGUGUACCCAACACGAAGCAAAGGAAGGAUCUUAGAGUUCAUAUACAGUAGCAAAAGGUUCAAAACAAGAGGAGGACUAAUGGCUGGAACGGCAACGACACACUAUUUUGCCAGUGAAGAAUUCAGAAUCAAACAAGAGAAAACAAAGCUGUUCACUUGUAGUCCCCACGAGGUGAUCUCGAAUGGGGACUACAAACAAACAACGUAUUGUCACCUCUUACUCGGCCUCUUCUUUCACAAAGAGGUUGAGUGCAUUACCUCGACUUUCGCUUACAGUAUCGUCCAAGCCUUCUCCUCGUUCGAAGAACAGUGGGAAGAUAUAUGCAAAGACAUCAAAGAAGGCAAUGUUAGCUCGAAAAUAACGUGGCCGAAGAUGCGGAAAGCCGUGUUGGACAUAAUCGAACCGAACCCAAUUUUAGCCUCGAGGAUUGAAGCUAUUUGCGAGGGUUUACAAGGCUCGGAUUGGUUCGGUUUGGUACCUAAACUUUGGCCCAAUGCUAAAUACGUUUACUCUAUAAUGACCGGAUCCAUGCAACAUUACUCGAAGAAACUAAGGCAUUAUUGUGGUUCGUUGCCAUUGGUGAGUGCCGAAUACGGGUCGACGGAGAGUUGGAUCGGGGUGAAUUUGGAUCCAUCUUUGGAACCCGAAAAGGUCACUUUUGCUGUAAUGCCCACAUUUUCGUAUUUCGAGUUUAUUCCUCUUUACAGACAAGAUCAAUAUUCGGGUUCUGGUAGUGUUGAUUUCAUUGAAGAUGACCCGGUUCCACUUUCCCAAGUCAAGGUUGGACAAGAAUACGAGAUUGUUCUCCCUACUUUUACUGGUAAGUUCCUUUUUUUUUUUUCUUUUUCAGAAUAUUUUUUAAGGGUUAAUAUAUAUUUUGCCCCCUCAACUUACUCAAAAGCAUUCAGUUGAUACUUAGGGCUGAAGCUAGAAACCUUUUUAGAAGGAUCGGAAUUAAAAUAUAUAUCUUUAUGAAAGCUAAAAAGUAAUUUCACCAUUGAAUUGACUUAUAUUUUAUUGUUUUUAAAAAGGCUAAAUUGAAAUUUUAACAUUUUAAAAAAAUAAACUAUAAUUUUAUCGUAUAUUGAUUUAAGAUUUUAUAAAUUUUAGAACUUAAAAAGAGAAUUUCUCAUUUUAAAAGGGUCAAGCCUUUGCUUGCCUUCCUCCCUUUGUCUCUAUCGGUACCCUAAUUAGUAUCUGAACUAGUUUUCUGUUACAAGUUUGGCAUUACUUAGCAUGCCAUGUGUAAAAUAUAUAAAUUAAUAAAAAGAUAUAAUUUUUAUUUGGACAUCAAUUUGUCUAGACUAAUUUUAGAUGUGUUUUUUAGUAAUUCCAUAAAUUUUUAAUUAUUUUUGUAAGAUUGAGAAAUGAAAACCGAAUUUUUUUUCAACAUUUUAAACAAAAAUGGGCAUUUUCUUAAAUGUUAGUUCAAUUUCUUCAAUUUUUUAUGAUUUUUUUCUUAAUUAUUAUGUAUGAUUUUAAAAUUUUCAAAAUAGUUAGAUAAUCUUAUUUAAUAAAUUGAAACCGUUAAAUCGAAAAUUGAAAGUCAUGCUUCGAUAUAAACAUUAAAUUUCAACCAAUGACCCCCAUAUGUAUGUUGGGUAUAUCCAUGAUUCUCAUUUUAUCUCGUCAUAUUUCAUAUUAUUGAUUAUUUUAAUUUUUAAUGUCUAUUUGUUUACAAUUAAGUUUCUUUUAAGAAAAAAAUUUAUCCACUCCAUUUUGCCUUAAUUUAAAAAAUAUUUUUUUUUGUCGAUUGAGUCUUAGUUCAAUGAAUAUAAGCAUUGUUGUUAAUACAGGAAAUGUGUGUUUAAGUAUGUUGAAGCGCAUUGUCCUCUUAUUCAUGAGUUAGAGAGAAACUAUAAAUAGUUCUAUGCAUUAUUUUAAAAAAAAAAAGUAGAUAUAAUCAGAACAUAUAAUAAAUUUGUUUAAAUAUAUAUUUUUUCAUUUGGAGUGAAAUAAUUGAAAAUUUUAUAUGACGAUUUGAGUUUUUAUUAUUUCAUAUAAACUCAUUUUUUUUGACGAACCAUAAUCGUGUUUACUAUGUAUUAAUAAUUGGCAGGGCUUUACAGAUAUAGACUCGGAGACGUGGUAGAAGUGAGCGGAUUUCACAACGAAACCCCAAAACUGAAAUUCAUAUGUAGGAGAAAGCUAUUACUAGUCGUUAACAUUGACAAAAACACCGAGAAAGACCUUCAAUUAGUGGUCGAAAAAGGUUCUCAAUUGCUGAGCAAACACCGAGCCGAGCUAGUCGAUUUCACGAGCCAUGCUAAACUAACGCAUCAACCGGGCCACUACGUGAUCUAUUGGGAGAUCAAAGGCAAAGUUGAGGAACGGGUCCUCUGCGAGUGUUGCCGGGAAAUGGAUGCCUCAUUUGUCGACCCCGGCUACGUCGUGUCAAGACGGACCAACUCGAUCGGACCAUUGGAGCUUUGUAUCGUCGAAAGAGGUACUUUUAAGAAGAUUUUGGAUUAUUUCAUAGGGAAUGGGGCAGCACUCAGCCAAUUUAAGACACCAAGGUGCACUAAUGACCGGACAUUACUUAAAAUCCUUGAUCUUUACACUGUUAAGAGGUUUAGAAGCACAGCUUAUGGUUAAAACCGUUAAGUAGAAUAUAACAACAACAAACAAGUUUUAUGUUUAUUUUAUUGCAAUCUUAGAAUCCAAUGUCCAUUUAUGCUAACGCAGGAAUUUGUAUUGAUGGGGGACUUUUGAAAAGAUAAUUUAAUAUAUUCACUCUCAACUAAUAAAGUGAUAUCCAAUUAAUCUAAAUUUGAAUCUUUUAUCAUAUGAAAAUUUUCUUUUUCUUUUUGAGUUAUGAUUGUUUGAUCAUAAAUUGUUUGUAAAAAUUACUAUGAUAGUUAUUGGUGUGCUCAAUAAAGAAAGAUAUUAGUUUGGUAAAAGCAUGAGUUCAAACCAGGGUGUAACUGAACUGAACCGAGUUUGAAUAUUGUUAAGCUUAAGCUCAAGCUCGAUUUGAAAUUCAGAAUAACAUCAAUUUUUUAGCUCGAGCUUGACUUGAUAAUUAAGUUUAAGAUUGAUAAUAUAUAUUAAGGGUAAUAAUGUAACUUAAUAAUAUAAGAUAUUUAAAAUAUAUAUUAAAAAGUCAAAAAAAGGUUGAUAAGACUAGUGGUGUUCGAUCUGGUAUAUAAGCUCGAUUCAGCACUCAUCUUGGUCUUAUUUUUUUAUAUAAGUUUAACUACUCAUAACCCCUCCCAGCUUUAAAUGAUAAAGUGCCUUUAAGGCAUCGACCAUACCUCUACUGUCAAUUUGAUGCCAACUAAUAAUGUUUGAAAAAACUCAUAACCCCUCCCAACUUCAAAAUAAAAUAUUAAUUUAUGCAAUCUCAUAAUUACCAUAUCAAUAUUAUUAAUCAAAAUCAAUAAUUAUUAAGUAAACAAAAUUAAAGUUGAAUCAAGACUUCAACUUUUGUGAGCAUAGUGGAUGGACGAAAAUGGAAAAAGUAUCCUUGUGGUUAAGACUAGGAACACUUGCAUGAAAUUAAAGACUCAAAAUCUAUUUGCCACCUUGGACAUUGGUAAAAUCUAUAUGAGAUAUCAUUGAACCAUUGAAACUCAUUUUUAGAUAAGGUGAUAAGCCCACGUGGCACUAACCCACUUCUCCUUUACAUGCACCAAAUACUCAAAUUUCCCUUUCUCCCCCAAAAACCAUGGCUUCCCCAUCGCUACUAACCCCUACCCCCAAGCUCCAACCCCUCCUCCCCACCUCCGCCGCCCCACCACCCUCUCCUCUGCCGCACCAAAACCAACACCAUCCUUCACGUCGCCACUUCUUGUCUCUUUCCGCCGUCACCACCGCAACACUAUCUCUUUCAUCGCUUCUACCAGUGACACCACCACAGGCAUUCGCAGCCGAGGACGAGGAGUACGUAAAAGAGACCUCCGAUGUCAUCAACAAAGUGAGGAACACCAUCAGCAUGGACAAAAACGACCCUAACGUCGCCACCGCGGUGGCGGAGCUUAGAGACACGUCGAACAGUUGGGUGGCUAAGUACAGGAGGGAGAAAGCUUUGUUGGGUCGAGCUUCGUUUCGUGAGAUUUAUUCGGCAUUGAAUGCUGUCUCGGGACAUUAUAUUAGCUUUGGGCCGACGGCGCCAAUUCCGGCUAAGAGAAAGGCGAGGAUUCUUGAAGAGAUGGAUACCGCCGAGAAAGCUUUGUUGCGAGGAAGAUGAUGAAAUGGAUCAACACACAUGUUGCUUUGCUGCUUAAAACUUUCGAGAUUUUAACGGCUUAAAAUAGUUAUUGAAUUUUAUUGAGUUUGAGAUUGCAAAUUUGCAAAUUGGUGAUUCAGUUUGUAAAUUAUGAACAAAAAUGAUGAUAUUAUUGUAAUUCAAUCCUGAAAAAUAAAAAUUGUCAUCACACUUAGCUCAAUGAAUAUGAGAGGUGCCUCUACUAUAGGGAUAUGAUCAAAUUAGUCCUUUUAAUAUUAAAUGAAUCAAUUUAGUUCAUGUAUUAUUUAAAAAAAUCAAAUUAAGCCACAUUAUAAUAGAGCUAAUAUUUAAUAUUUAAAAGAUAUCAUUUAUUGUUUAAAUGAAAUAUUUUGUUUAAAAUUAAAUGCAUUUUAAAAAAUAAAUUUUGAAACAUUUUUUAUAUAGUAAAUCUUAACUCUAUUACAAUUUGGACUUAUUUAAUUUGUUUUAAUAGUAUAUUGUCUAUAUUAAUCCAUUUAAUAAUAAAGGGACUAAUCUGAUCCAAACCCAAUAAUGUAGGGAGCUCUCACGUACUUUAACCAUCACAAUUAUAUUUGAGUAUUUAGUUGACAUCAAUUUUGAUUAGUGGUGCAUCCAAUCUAGAAUUCUUCAUGGAUUGGGGAGGUUAAAUUCGAGUUAGACUUAAGUAUAAUAUUAACAUGCUCUAAGUUUGUGCAAGCUUCGCUUGGAUUGAAAUAUGACCUUAAAAUUUUACAUAAACUCAUCUAUAUUUUAAAUUGCCAACUCAAGUCUAUUUUGGAACCGCCCACAUUAUUUUUCAAUUUAAAAUAUAUAUUUAUAUUAUUUUUAAUUUAAUGUUUAAUAUUUUUUAUUUUGUCAUUUAUUGAAUUUUUACAUAUAAUCAUCUGAACAUGUUUUUAGUGUUUACAUUAUAAUAUUAUAUAUUAUUAUAAAUUUAAUUUUUAUGUGUUAUAUAUUAUAUAAUAAAAUAAAUAUCAAAAUCAUACAUGAGUUUUGAUCUAAAGUGUAUUAUCAUUUACAAGUUUUGGUUUUGUGCGAUUUUAUAUCUAAAAUUUUGAUUUGAUUUUAUAUAUACUUUGUCAAUUUAAGCCUUAUCCUUUUUUUUAGCUAAAUCUAAGAGUUAACUUUUCAAAAAAAAAAUCAAAUAACUAUUUUAAUGAAAAUGUUGACUAAAACAAUAAUUUUUUUAACGAUGUUGGUAUGGAAAAUCGCGCAGUGGUCCGCGUGUACUUUAUGUUGACAAGAUAUCAUUUGUAUUAUAUAUCACAAUAAUAAAUAAUUUAAAUUUUAUGAAAAUAAAAAAUUCAAAAUUUAAAAAUAUUAAGAAGAAAUACACGUGAAUUUUCACGUUGGUUGUCAUUUAAAAAAAAUUAAUGUUUUAGUCAAUAUUUUUGUUAAAAGCCAACAAUUCAACUCUUUUUUUAUAGAUUGAUGGUCAAAUUUAACUAUCUUUAAAAAUGUUAAGAGUCAAAUUUAACUCCAAAAAAAAAAGAGUGAGAUAAAAGAUGUAAAAGUUAAAAGCUAAAUUUAUCUUUAUGCCUAUAAUAUAUUACAAAUAUGGAUGAAAAAAUUAUUGUCUAAUUUAAGUGCUAAAAAAUUUAUUUUAGCUUUUCAUUUUUUUUUUGCUUUUUUUAACUUUUAAACUUGCAUUUUCUGUGAAAUCACCUCAAAAUGGAUGAAAAAUUAAUGAUUUAUAACUUUGCUAAUGUGGCAUACACAUGGAUAACGUGUUAGCAUUUAAUUAAUUUUUUUAAAAAUUUAAUUAGAUGAUAACAUGCCACCCACAUAGCAAUCUAUAUGUAUGCCACGUCAUCGAAGUUAACAAAUGAUAAUUUUUUCAUCCAUAUCGAGGUGAUUUGACUAAAAAAAUACAAAUUUAAGAACUAAAAGAAACGAAAAAUUAAAUAAAAAACUAAAAUAAUUUUUUUUCUUUAAGUUGGAGGGCAAAAAAUAAUAUCAUUAUGCUAAUAAAAUAAAUCCAAAAAAAUCGACUAAACUUACUUACUUAUUUUAGCUAAUUUUCGUCGAUUUGCUUUGAAUUAAUAACAAAAACCCAUUUUGGUUUUAGUGUUAUUUCUUGAUUUGAAUAGAUCGAACCCAAACAUGGAUGGGCAGUUUGGCCCAUUUCUUUCGUUUUUGAAGGGUCUAAUUCUUGUUUUAGUCCUUUUAGGUUUAGCUAAUCUAUUUUAGUUUGACACAAUUUUAUUUUAUUAGUAUGUUCAAAUUAAUAGUACUAUUAAUUAUUGCGGGUAAAGUGAUGUAGAUUUUUAUGAAUCUAUUAGCAUUUAUUUACAUUGUUUUCAAUUUAGACUUACUAAAAAUAUAAAAUUAAUAAUGCUAAAUUAUUUGAAUUAAAAAUAUUAUAAUUCAUAUUAAGUCCCAAAAAUUUUGAAAAUUUUAAUGAAAUCUCUUUAAAAAAUUUAAAAUUAACAAUACUUUUAAAACUUAAUAUCAGAAUCCAUCAUUAAUAUUUACUUAUAAUUCUGAAAAUAAAAAUAAAAAAAAUUGAGUUAAAGAAGAUGUUAGCGCUUGAAACAUUUAUGGGAUAAAUGAGAUGUUUGGUUUAAACAUCAUCUUAGACUUCUUUUGUUAUUAUACAUUUCCGUUUUAUUAUUUAUGUUUGGGGUUCGUGGCUAACCCUCCGAAUAAUGUUAUUUUCAAGACUUGAACUUAUGUUCUCCUCUUUGGAGUGUAAUGUGGCACCCAAUCACUUAUUGGUUCUCCAACUUUUACUUAAUUAUAACGACACAAAUACUAUUUCUUUAGAUUUUAAUCAUUCAAGUUCGACCUUAAUCUUACCUAAAUUACAAUUCAAUUAGUUUCAAAUUGAUUAUGAUUUAAAUCUUGUUAUAUUUUAGAUAUUAUUUCAAUUACGAACGAAGGAAAAAAAGUAGUUAGUGGGCUUGGCUCUCCAAAAAAAAAAGUAGAUUUAAUAUUUUUUCCAUUAGAUUUUUAUGAAAUUACAUAUUAGACUUUUAUGUAAAAAUAAAUUUUUUUUAUAGAUUUUACAAGUACAAAUUAUCAUACAAUCACAAACAUACAAUAGCAAAUGCAAGUUCAAGAGUUUACGAAGUAGAAUUAAAUUAGUAUGAAGCAUAAAUGGACGAAAAAUUGUUCAAAACCUAUACAUGAUGGGACUAGAGACUUAUUUUAACACUUUUUUCCAUUUUCAAAUGAUCGGUAGGGAUGGGAAAUGCCACUGAAGUAAGUACCAGUAAGAAAUCUUAAUUUUAAUUAAGGAUUUAGGGUUUAAAUCAUUUUUUAAAAUAAUUAAGAUAUGAUUUAGACAAUUUGAAAUUUUUAGAAUCAAUUUAAAAACAUUUAGAAUUGAUAUGAAGUUGAAUAGGUGUUUAGGACUCAAAACGAGUCCCAAAAAGUCAAAAUGACUUGAAUUAGUGCAGAGUCAUACAGUGGCGCGACAUGCGAUGUGGCUUACUAACUAGCAAAGUCACAAUGUGGGAUAUGCAAUGUCACGACGUCAAGUGACGAGGUCACGACGUUGUGAUUUUGCGAUUGCGACUUGACUUAUUGAGUAUGCCCAAAACACUUCAAAAUGUUUUCGUAAGUUCCUUUAUUCAUGAUACAUAUAACACAUGCUUAAAAGUCACUUAAAUAUGUACAAAAGUCAUUAUAAAACACUUUAAAUUUGUAAUUUACAAUCUCCAAAGGUAAGUAACCAUGCAUAUCAUCGAUUUACCAAAAGAAGAAUAAGAUGAUAAAAUAACAAGUGAAGCUUUCAAGCUCAAAUUUAAACAACAUUCAAUUUAAGGACCAAGUAAUAUGAAAUUAACAUAUUUACUAAGUAGACACACUAGUAUAUGACACAACUAAAAAUAUGUCUCUUUCAUACUCUUGCUGGUCUUGAUGAUAGUGUAAUGUCUUGAAUUGAGCUAGGCUUCAAGAGUUUCCAAAUCAACAAUCUACACACAAAAACAACGGUGCGUAAGCAAUUAAUGCUUAGUAAAUUUAAAUGGAAUUCACUAUACUUAUUUUGUUGGAGAUGAACAUACCAAAUGCCAUAAGAAAUAUAAACAAUGCUAACAAUAAUCAGAACCAACACAUAAGGCAAAUUAAGCAUGAAAGCUUAUAAACAUGUCAACAAUGUCAACUUUCGUUAUACAUAUAAGGUAGUAGGCAUAAAUAAUCAUUAAUCUGUUACUCAAGUUCACAUCUCAAACAUUUCCUAUUCAUUCGCAUCAUUUAAAUACAUAUAUGUAUAAAACUUUUUGCCCAAUGUAACAUUAGUAAGAUGGACUUGGCUACACGGAAAUCCACCACCACAAGAAUGCUUGUGAGAGCAUAGAAUUACACCACACUAUGACAUAAAAGUGCAAAGCCCAAAGGCAUCAUGUACAUCACUACACCACACCAAGAUAUUCUUCGAAAAGAUGGUGUACUUCCGAUGAUUCGCAACAAAUGCUAAACCAUCGAAGGACAUGAUAUAGCUCCAACUCUAUAAUAACACGUACAUAAAUGUGCAUAUGACCUUAAUUGGCAUGCCAACUAUAUUCUAAGUUUUCUAUCAAGUUUACAUGGGCACAAGAACCAAGUGAGCAUUUACAAUGAAGUCCUAUUGUGCAUAACUAUAACCUUCAUAGAUACUCGUGGUUUCCAUUUUACAAAGCUCAUUUGCUUGCCCUAUUCUUGAACACAUAGCAUCAUGAAUCUAACAUACAUUCAAAAUAUGAAGCCAAUCAUACCAUUGUACACAUAUAAUAUCCCAUUUCAACUUACUCAUUAUAACAACCAAUUAAUAUUUCUUUUUAAACAUACAACUAUGUCUUCAUGCUACCUUGCCUAUCAUGUCAACUAUAUCGAUGUAUACUAUAUUUCUACAUUCAAAUAACAGGUUUAAUAAAUUAAAUAACUAGCACACAACAACAACAUGAAAACAUGUAAGUUCCAUGAUAACUUACUUUUCCCAAAAGCAACAAAAAUGGAUGGAGGCUUAUCCAAAGCCUUCAAUCUAUCACCUUUUCCUUUCCCUUGCCAAAAACCACAUCUGGAAACCUCUUUCUCUUCAAAUACAUGCAAUCAGUUUUCUCCAAAUGUCAAAAUAUUAAAGUAACGCCUAAUAGCCAUAUUAAUAGCUCAACUAACAUAAUAAUGCUCAUAAAAGUGAAAUGGAGUGCCAAAAUUAUGAGAAACCAUGAAAACUUACAUUAGUUUUCACUUUCUCACUCUAACUCAAAUUUCCUCUCAUGAGGGCUCAAAUCUUAAGUAUAAGUUGUGAUAGCCCGAAAUAGGGCCUAAUCGGAAUAGUGGUUUCGUAACCACAAAUCCGAAGUGAAAUAGUUUAAUUUUAUAAAUUUUUAUUAGUUACUGAUUGAUUGAAAUGUUGUGUGAAAAUAUGGAUAGGAAAUUUUAAUGCUUUAGUGCUUAAUUGAAUUUUUAGGACUAAAUUGAGAAAAAUGCAAAGUGUGUCUAAUUAGUGAUUAAAUGACUUAAUUGAAUUAUUGCAUGAAAUUGGAAGUGUUUAUGUGGCAAUUAGACCAUAAAUUAGUGUUAUGGACACAAAAGGGUAUUUCUAGAAAAAUAUCUAAGUAAUGGGUCAAGGGCAUUUUUGUCCAAAUUGGGUAAAAGACAAAAUAAAAAGAAAAUAAGUGUCCAUCUUCUUCAAAAAAAUCAGAAGCUUGCUGCCGAAAGUUUCAGGUUACCAUAGUUAAGGGUUUUGAUUUUCCUAAGCUCAAUUGUAAGUGAUUUCUUGCCCCGUUUUUAAUUAUUUUCGUAUUUUUAUGCUUAUUGAAGCUUGAAUUUCAUGUUUCUACUAUUUAAUUUAAAUGAAAUUAAAGUUUAAAAAUUGACCCAUUCAUGAUAUAAUUGUAAAUUGAUUAGUGAUGUUAGAUAAUGAAUGUCUGAAGUGUUAAUUACAAGUUUUACUAGAUGAAUUUCAAUGAAAAAUGUUGAAAAAGGGCUAAAUUGUGAAAGAUGGUAAACUGUGCAUAAAGUUGUGAUUUUGUGAAAUUGAGGCCGUUAUGAGCAUGAAAUAUGAUUUAGUGAAGUUUGAAAUUUAAGAAUUUAGAGAAUUUUAUUUUUACGAGCUUAGGGACAAAAGUGGAAUUUUUGAAAAGUUAUGGGAAAAAUGUAAAUGUGUCAAAAUGUUGUGUAUGAAUUGUAUUUGAAUGGAAUAUUGAUAAAAUGUAUUAAAUUGUGUUAAUAUAGAUCAAGAAAGAAGAAAUAGUGCAAGUGAUCGGGGAAAAGAGAAAGUUAUCGACUAAAUUACAAAAAUAGUCGUUUUGCAUCCGAGGUAAGUUAUAUGUAAAUAAUAGUUAUAUUUGUAUAAAUUGUGAAUUAUAUUUGAUAUGUGAAUUAAUAUUGAAUGUGGAAGGAAAGUUGUUCAUGAAUUAUUCAAGUGAUAAAGUGUUGAAAAUAAAGUGUUAAGUGUAAAUUCUCGGUUGAACUUAGGAAUAGAAUUGGAUACAAGUGACAUGUCACUAGAGACCAGUGUUACAGUGUUACAGUGAGUCCCGGGUGCUGGGUGAUCUAGCAUGUGUUGCAGACACCUGACAGCUUGUGUGAGCAGACCCAUGGACAUUUCCAGUGUUAUUGAUCAGUGGUAGCUUCGGCUACAUUUCAGUGGUAGCUUUGGCUACAUCCAGUGGUAGCUUCGGCUACAUAUCAGUGUGGCACUUAUGUGCUAAAUCUCUACGUAUCCGUGUAUAUUCCAAGUGUUCAACGGGAUUAAUAAUGAAUUAAAGUGAAUAUGAAAUGUUAAGUGUGAAAAUGUAUAUGCAAGUGAAUUGGUAAGAUUGUGUAUGUGUAAGUGAUUGAAAUUGCUAAGAAAUGUUUUGAUUAGUUAUAUGUUAAAAGUGUUAAUUAUUAAUUGAGUAAUUAUUGUUUACAUGUAACUUACUAAGCUAUUUAUAGCUUACACAUCUCUUUCUUUCCUUUGUUUUAUAGUGAUUUGAACUUGAUCGAAUAGUGGACCGUCGGAGCUCGUAUCACACUAUCAUAACCAUCUCGGUAUUAUGUGCUUUUCAAAAUGUUUAAACUAUGGCAUGUAUAGAGUCUUAAUCAUUUUGAGCAUGUCCAAAUGAUAUGGCUAAUGUUAGCUAUUGAAGUAGUUAUUAAAGAAUAUGUUUUGGAGUUAUGUAUGUUUAAAUGGUAACUAAUUCAAAGAAGCAGUUUCUUUGACAGCAGCAGUGACGUGAAUGUGAAAAAUCACCAUAAAUAGUAGAAAUGGAAUUAGAGGGUGAAUGAUAAAUAGAAUUAAAGCUUAUCAAGUCUAUUUUUACAUGAAAGAAAAGGUGUAGGCAAAGGAAUUUUAUAUUUUGAGAUAUUUAAAUUUUAGUGAGACAGGGUCAGAAUGGUUUUUGAAGUCCCCUGUUCUAACUUUAGAAAAUCAUUAUAAAUUGUACAGAAAUAAUUAUAGGUCAUAAUUUAUAUGUUUAGAUUCCUUAGUGAGUCUAUUUUCAAAAUAAAUUAAUGGUAACCUUAUAUGAAUUCUGUACAAUUAGAUAUUUGAUUUUUAGCACCAAGAGGUCAGAUCUGUCGAGCUGUGAAACAGGGGAUACUUUAAUGAAUAAACUGUACUAAUGUGCUAAGUCAAAAAUUCUGAAAAUUUUAUGGUAAGUAGGAAUAUGAGUCUAGUUUCACGGAAAAUUUACGGAUUUAAAUUUUGAGUUUCGUAACUCAAUUUAUAAUUAAAUUAGUGACAGUUGCGCAGGUGGACAGUGUUGUUAUGAACAGUGAAUUUAAUUUUAAAAGCAAAUUUUUAUGCUCCGAAUCGGUAAGUUAAAUUGGAUGACAUCUCGUACUCGAUUCCGGAGACGGUCUCGGGUAAGGGGUGUUACAUAAGUUGUUAAAACUAACGUCGAUAAUUGCAAUAUAGAACGAUCGCAAAGUAAAAAAGAGGAGGAGAAAUUCACUAAUGUUGAAAACUGAAUAAUACAAGAGGAGUAUCGACUACAUCUAUUUAAAGGUUGAAAAAUCUUAUUCUAAUUAAUGUCAAAUAGAAAGAGUAUAGCUUUAUACGGUUUCUACUUGUGCAGCAUGAUUCGAGUCACACAACUCUAACAUAAGUGCUUACAAAUGAUUAUUUUUUGAAGGUUCGAAAAAAUAUCAAAUUUUUUAAAAGGUAGAAAAUGAUGAACAAGCUUUUUUUUCUCUUUCCCUACAAUGGCCAGUCAAGGUGCUGCCGUUUUGGGGUUCUUUUUCUCCCUUUUUAUUGAUUUAUAAUAUAUAAAAUACAGGUAUUGGUCAAAUAGUCCAAGGCUAACAAAGAGGUGUGGUAUAAAUACAAUGUAAGGCCAAUUUUAAGCAUUCUAAUAACCUCUCAAUAAUCUAAAAAUAAAAAUAAAUUUCUCAUCAGAUAUACAAACAAAAUUAUUGGAACAAUCCCGUACGAAACACUCAAAAAUUUUGAGGCGGUACACCUACACAGAACAAAUACAUAUGAUGAGAUUCGAACUUGGAUACUUAAUAUGCGAUAUGUAUUUUUAUUCAAGUCCUAUCAUUUCGAUUUAUUUUAUUUUUAUUUUUGUUUAAAUCCUACCAUAUGUAGGUCUUAUCCGUAUUUAUUUUAAUUGAGGUUCAGUUUAAUUUAUCGACUUGAUCAUACUCUAUAAUUAUUUUGAUCCUAAUUAUAAAUAUUCUUAAGUGUAUUUUGUACUUGCAUUUAUUAUACUUGUAACUUGAAAAAAAAUGUUAUUGCUUUUGUUAAAUUAUUAAUAAUUGAAGAAAAUAAUAUUUCAAUUUACUUGCUGGAAUCAUAAAUUGAGCAUGUUGAUGCAUUAAAAAGAAUUGUAUUUUUAUUUAUAUAUUUUAAAAUAUUUUUCAUAUACCGUUGCGUGGAUGAAUUUAAAAGUAAGGUUAAUUAUUUGUUGCUUUUUGAUAUAAAUAUUAAUAAAUAUAUAUUAUUUUAAAUUACUAAAAAAGGAAAUUUGUUGAAAGCUUUGCAUAAUUACUAAUUAAUUAAUCAUGGAGUCCCUACUAGUGUUUGACUUUUAAUGAAUAGGGGCCAAUGAAUGUAUACAUUAAAACCCACCCGUAACUUUAAAAAGGGAAAAUAAUAAAAUAUUUGAAUAAAAAAAGAAAAAUAAUAAAAAAUAACCCCCACCCCUACAUUAAUAAGAGACAAAUAAUAAAAUAUUUCAAUAAAAAAAGGAAAAUAUUAAAACCUUUUCCAUAAUAAUAUUAAUUUUAUUUUAGAUAUUUCACCAUAAUACCUUUCUAUGCCUUAUUAGAUAAUCAUUGUACUAAAAAAAAAAAGGAGAUUUAUUGAAAACUUUCCAUAUUUACUAAUUAAUUAAUCAUGGUGUUCUUAUUGCAAUAAAAUAAAAAACCAUGGAGUUAAUCAAGAAGCUGGAAAUUUUUUUUCGAGGGGUUAAAAUUAAAUUGUAUAUUUUUAUAAUAGUAAAAAUAUAAUUUCAUCAUGUUAUUAAUUUAUAUUUUUAUAAUUUUAAAAUAUUAAAUUAAAUUUUUGUUCUUUUUAAAAUGUCAAAAUAUAAUUUCAUUAUUACUAAUUUAAAAUUUUAUAAAUUAUAAAAACUAAAAUAAUAAAUUUUUAUUUUAAAGGCCGACAUCCUGUAAAUCCCUGGUUCCACCACUGCAUGGAGUUCUACUAGAAGAUUAAGUGUUUUGACUUUUAAUGGCAAAGGGGCCAAUGAAUGUAUCCAAACACACCCAUACUUUAAAAGGGAAAAUAAUAAAAUAUUUGAAUAAAAAAAUAAUAAAACCCUUUUCAUAAUAAUUUUUAUUUUAUUUUAGAUAUUUCACCGUAAUACAUUUUCAGUAUCAACAGAAUUUGAAUUCUAAUUAUUGAAAUAUCAACAAUGAGUCUUAAUAAUAAUGUUGUGGCAUUCCCAUAUAUAUAAUAUGUCAUAAGUCUUUAUAUUUUUCAUAAAUUUAAAUUUUAAUCUCUGUACUUUUAUAUUUUAGAAUUCAAUUUAUCUACUUUUAUAUUUUAAACAGUUUGACUGGUAAGUUCUACGUGUCGAUUUGAUGACUGGUACAGUGUAUCAAUUCUCAUCGAUUAAUGGAAGAAUAUACCUUAGACACCCAAGUCGAUUUGAUGGUUAGUGUCGAAUAUCGAAGACGAAAAUUAUUUAGAUUUUGGUUAAAAGGUUUGUGACGUUCAAAGUUUUUCUAUAAAAAAAAUUAAAUUGUUAAGAGGAGUAAAAUGAGAGCUUUUGAUUUGAUAUAGGCGGUGGGAACGAAAAGGGUCAUACAACAAUAAUUUUAAUAACUCAAUGACUUAAAUGAAAACUUUUAAAUAGUUCAAUGAUUAUUUUAUAACUUUUUAAAAUUGAAAAACUAAAACAUAAAUUUAUUAAUAAUUUAGUGAUACGAAAUAAAAUUUACCCAAUUUCUCUUCGUAUCUAAAAUUAUUAAAUCAAAUUUAAUAUAUCACAAUUGUUACCUAACUUUUGACUGUUUGAGACGUGGCCAUUCGAACUUACCAGUGGAUAAGCUUCAAAUUUGUGGUUCUUUUUAUUAGUUGAGUCAAUUUUAUUGAUUUAUUCGUGAUUAAGUUUUUUUUAUAGAUAUUGUUAUUAAUAUAAAAUGAUGUGUGUUCGAGUAUGUUGAGAUAUAUUAUUUUUUUAUUUAUGGAUUAAGGACGAAUUAUGAAUUAUUUUAAAUAUUGUAUAUCGAAAAGAGUUUAUUUAAAAAAAAAUUAAUGAUUUAUUAACUCAUUCUUCAAUUUGCUAAUACAUUUUGACAAAAAUUAAAUGGAUUCAUCAAUACAACCUAAUUUUAUCAAACAUUUUCUUUCAACGUUUGAUACGGUUAGACAAUAAAUCGAAGAACCGUCGAAAGAGUUGGGGGCAAGUGGUUAUAUAUAGAUAUUUAUUAUAAGGGUCAAUAUGAUCUUUGGUAUCUGAAUUUGAAUUUUUUUAAUUUGGUAUAUAAAUUUUUUUUAUUUAAUUUGAUAUUUAAAUUUGACUUUUUUCUUAAUUUGGUACCUAAAAUUAUUUGGUGCCUAGUUUGGUACGUGAACUUGGCAUUUUUUCUUGAUUUGGUACCUAAGUUUUUUUUAGUUCAAUUUGGUACCUAAAUUUAAUAAAUGUUAUACAAAUUACACAAAAUACUAAUGGUGUUUUUUUUUAUGCUACAAAAAUAUUGUCAAUAUUAGAGGAAAUUCAUGUUAAAAAAAUAAGUAUUGAGUUAUGCUUAGCGAAUUAAUAUUAAAUAAGAAAAAAAGAGUUUUAAAAACUAAAAUUAAAAUAAAUUCAUUAGUUUCAAUUAAUAAAUUAAUUAAUCAAAACUAAAAGAAUUUGAACAUAUAAAAUACAAAAAAAUAUCAUAUCAUCUGUGACAUGUCGGUCAUUCAUUGAUUAUUUUUGCUACCUCAUAAAAAAAUAACAUUGUUAGUAUAUUGGAGUAAUUUGUAAAACGUUUGACAAUUGCAAGUACCAAAUCGAACAAAAAAAGAUUAGGUACUAAAUUAAGAAAAAGAGUCAAGUUCAAGUACUAGAUUAGGAAAACGUGUCAAGUUUGGGUACUAAAUUGGACCCAAAAAAAGUUUAGAUACCAAAUUAGGAAAACGUGUCAAGUUCAGAUACUAAAUGUCAUAAAUUUAUAAAUAUAUAUAUAAAUUAGGUAAAAAUAUCUAUCUAGUCUCUUUCAAUUUCAAUAUUAAGUAAAUUGGCCCCUUUAAAAAAAUUGGAGCAAUUUAGUCUUUGUCAAUUUCGAAAGUAAACAAUUAAGAACAAUUAAUCACAACAUUAGGUUUUUUUAUCAAUUUUGCAUAAUUUUGAUUAGUAUAAUAACAAGCUUAGACCUUGAUGUUUAUAUAAAUUUUGCAUAAAUGUUGUCAGAAUGUAAGCGUUGCGAGCUAAAUUUGUUAAUUAAGAUGAAAUUGACAUAAUGUGUAAAUAUUGUGGGUUAAAUUUGUUAAAUCAACUUAGAAUUAACAAAAUGUGUAAACUUUGAGCAUUAAAUUUGUUAUUAUACCAAUAAAAUAUAUAAAAUUGACAAAAAACAGCAAUAUUGUGAUUAAUUGAACUUAGUUGCUCACUUUUGAAAUUAACAAGGAUUAAAUUGCUUUGGUUUUUUUAGAGAGAUCAAUUACUUAAUAUUGAAAUUGAAAAGGACUAGAGAGGUCUUUUUGCCUAAAAAUCAAAUGCGGUUUUGGUUGAAAUAGUAAAAAAUCAAUAGAAGAAAGAUUUUGAGAUAUUGGGUUCAAAUCCCAUCAUUUGCACGCAUUUUUAUGUCAAAAAGUAAAGAUACCCACAAUAUUAUAUUUGUUGCUUUAUAAAAAUAUCGAGCUUUUGUUAAUGUUACAACUAGAUUAGAACUUGGUUAAGAGUGACACUAACGCAGUCAAAAACUUUAUAGUACUAAAUUUUGUUAAAAAAACAUUUUAUUCUCUUAUCUUGUUAAUAUUAAUUAUUUUAAAAAAUAAAUAUUUCAAUAAUUAUCUUAUCUUUGAAAUUGAAGGAUUUUAUAUUGAGAGUCGGAUUGUAUUUUAUUCUCUCUGUUCAAAAAAUGGAUAAAUUAAUUCAUGUACAUUAGAUUAAAGAAUAAGCUGGUUCUUCUAUUAAAAAAUUAAUAUAUUUUUACUAUUCAAAAUUGGUCAUUAUAAGUUCAACAUGAAGCAUACAUGACAUGCCACGUGUUAAUGUUUGAUUAUUCUGUCAAUUACAUCAGUUUUUAACCGUACAAAUGUAUAAACCCAACAAAAUAUAGAUUAACUGAAUUUUGUCAUAUUGUAAGCUUAAGGACCUCCACUAAAACAAUUUCAUAAUUUGAUAAUUUAAUAAAAAAUAAUUAUUUUCCAUAUCCGUCAACCGAAUCUUUGAAUGCAACAAUCUAUACAACCAAUUAUUUUAAUUCAUAAUAUAUAUAUACUUACUAAUAUUUUAAAUUUUAAUAAAUAAAAGAAUAAUGAGCAAAAUCAAUAAAAUAAUAUAAUGAGAAUUUUCUUUUAAAUAUUAAAAGGUUAAAAAUUUUAUUAAUUGAAUCGAUAAGGGUCUCUCUUAUUUUUAACUUGUAGUUGAGAGUUCGAUCAUCAUUUUAAAUAUAGAGUAAUUUUAAAACUCGUAACUCAUGACUAAUGUUUAUUCUAUUAAUGGAUCUAUCGAAGACGAAAAAUUAAUUAUUAAAUUCACUCUAGGUAAUACUUAAAAAAAAAUUAAUUGGAUUAGAUUGUUUUGACUUGGUCGGUUUGAAAAGGAUUAAAUUAUGUUUAUUUAUUUUUAAAAAUUUAUUUACAUUAAAUAAUAAUUUUAAAAAACCAUUAGCAUGAGACUGUAACAUAUGUUUGCUGUCCUUGUCAGUUGUACAGAUAUUUCUGUAUUUUGUCGUGGGUAUCAUGCAUGUGUUCCACGUUUGUUUGUCUUUUAUUAAUAUUUAUUUUAUUAAUAAAGUAGAAAUUGGCUUUAUCCAGAGUAAGGAUAAAGUUAUGGGUCGGUUCUAGGUUCGGUUUUAAAAAAAUUUCAAGCUCGAACCUAGUUUGGCUGAUCGAGUAGCUCGUUUUAAUGUUUAGAAAAUGAUUAAAAUAUUUUCAAAAUUGUUUAUAGAAUAAAAAUAUAUUGUUAAUAUAUUAAAUAUUAAUUCGAUUUUUUUAUAUAUUCUUUUAAUUUUUGAUGUAUUAAAAUGAAGGUACACUCAGAAAUUAUUAUUUUUCAAUAAUUUUUAAGGAAAAUAUUUAAAUAUUAAAUUUUGGCUAUUAGUCCUUAUAUUUUACGUAAGUUAUAAAUUUAGUUUAUAUAUUUUUCAAAAUCUAAAAUUUCAGUUCUCAACAAACGAUAACUAUUAAAUUCAUUAAGUUAACUUUUCUUAUUUUCAUAAUUUGAUGUGAUAAACAUAUUAUUAUAUGUAUAAUACAAUGUUAGCUUAUUAUUUUCACGUAUUAUUUACUAAAAAUUCGAUUAAUAAAUUAACGAUUGUCAUUUGUGUGAAUAUAUUUUUAAAAUUUGAAAAGUAAAGAAAUUUAGAAUGAUCUAACUGGAGAAUAUGAAUUAAAUCUACAACUAUACGCAUAAUACAAGACUAAAAUUUUAAAAUUAAAAAGUAUAAAGACUAAAAUUAACAAAUUUAAAAAAUACAAAAACUAAAAUUAAUCAAAUUAAAAUAUAAAAAUUAACCCACCGUUUUUACAAAAAUAUAAAAAUUUGUCAAAAUAUUGGCUGAAUGUGAAAACUCGAAUUCGUCCUCGGAAUCUUGCAUAAGUUUCAAUUAUUUUUGUCUGACUUUUUAAUUCACUAAAAUCCAAAAAAAGUGAAGACAAAAAAAAAUUAAAAAUAUUAAAAUAUACAGAACAAUAAAUUCUUCUAUUUCUAAAUUAUAAAUUUAAUCUUUAUAUUUUACUUUCUUCAUUUUAGUCUCUAUACUUUUCGAAUUUAUCAAAUUUUAAUCAUUGUGUUUUUUGAAAUAUAAAAAUUAAAUUCGAACCCACACAAUAGUAAUUAAAUUUAUUUGGUUAAAUUAUGCUAUUAGUCCUCUACUAUGCAUAAAGUUGUAAAUAAUAGAUAAAAGUACCAUGAAGUUUUUGUACUAGGAGCUAAAUUGUAUUUUACCCUCCUUAUUCAAAACUUGAGUGAAUUAAUUCUUAUACAUUAGAUUAAAGAACAAAUUGGUCAUUCUAUUAAAGAUUUCAUUCAUUUCUACUAUUAAAGCCUAGACAUUGUACGUCGAAAUGAGGUACAUGUGGCAUGUUACAUGUAUCUAUCUGUUUUUUCUGUCAAUUAUGCUAAUUUUUAACAAUAAAAAUGAAAUAAAUUUUUAUCCGAAAGGACUAGUUUGCUCUUAAAUUUUAUGUAUAGAGACUAAUUUCCUUAUUUUUUUGAGUAAAAAAGACAAAAUCUAAGCUGAAUCUUACUAUAGGGGCCUCAUGGUACUUUUACUUCAAUAAUAUUCUUGUUGUUCAAAGUUUUAAAAAUAGCGGAAGUUAACCGGAUUUAAUUACUGUCGUUUGACCUGAACUGAAUUUUUCAAAGUUUGAAAUAUAUAAAGAAAAAUGACCUAAUUAUGAAUAUAAAAAAUAUGGAAUUAAAAUAAGGGACUAAAUCCAUAACUAUGCGUAGUACAGGGACAAAUAAAAAUUAACCCAAAAAGUGCACUGUUCAAUCUUUCAAAUUCUGGGAUUCAGCUGAGGGUGAGAGAGACAGAUGAGUGUCAAUAAAUAAAUCAAUAAAGAAAACCUCAAAAAAUCCAUUGCCUUUCAUUUUAUUUCUAUUUCACUUUACUACUUUUAUUUCUUUCUUUGAAAUCAAACUUCUGUUCUUCCAAUUUGAUACUCUGUUCUUCCCAGUUCUUUUUUCUUUUUCUGUGCUCUGUUUAUUUUCCCGGGAAAGUUGAAAAUUUUCUUUUCAUUUCAGUUAGAAAAUUGCUCUCGUUGAAAGACCUAAACGUUUGAAAUCAUGGGUUUUUGUUGAAACCAAGAAAUCUUUAAAAUUUCCCUGCCUUCGAUCAUAAAAAAUAAGAAAAAAGAAAAUUUUCCCUCAUUUUCUCUCGUUUUCUCGGGCUUUCUAUUGUUUUCGUUUCUUAACUUGGGCUUGAAAUUACUGUGUUUUGAAAGGUAAAGAUCCACUAUUUGUUUCUUCAUCGUCGAUCAAAACAGAGCAAGACUCGAAGUUUUCUUUCUAAAAAACGUGUUUAAUUGAAUCCCCUCUUAGUUUUCGUUUCUCGUUUUUCCUUAAAAUUUUCCCGAGAAAAGUGUAAUCUUCAAAAUCCAGCAGGGACCGAAAAAAUAGUUUGAAUUAAAAAAAGGUUGUCAACUUACAAACAAGAUUCUUCGUUUUCUCACUUCAGUUUUUCCCUUUUUCCCCUUAAAUUUUGCUGUCCAAACGUCAAAAAUUAGGAAUUUUCUCUUCAAAAUUCACAUUACCUAAAAUCACGUCAAUCUCGCUCUGCUUUUUCUCCCUUUGAUUUCUUCUACUGUUCAUCAACACCAAGUUUAAAAAAAAAAACCAAAAAAACAACACCACCAAACUCCCUGCGCUUUUUCUUGUCGUGUCUUUAUCUUUCUUGUCCAAAAAACCAUGAUUUUGGACUCUGUUGCAAAGCAAUCCAAUCUCGAUUGCUUCCUUCAAUGCACAACUCCCAC
rnacentral:lncRNA from 1 species